AACAAGCCUCUCCUUCGGGUGAUGCCUUCUUUGGGGUGGCCUUUCUGCGAGCGUCCGUGCGUGCGUGUCCAUGAAUAAACCUCAGCUUGUCUCGGCAAGCUAGGUGCGAGUCCCUUCUUUGUUUUUUGUAUGAUUAUUGCCAGUGUUUGUUUCUUGUUGGGUUCGUCCUCAGAGUUGCUGCGAGAUUUAUGGGAUUAUCCCAGUCAAUCCUUCUGUCAUGUAAGAUUUUAUUUUGGGCAAAUCAUGAGUGUUGUAUGCCUGUUCCCUCAGUAACUCACUCGUUGUGUAUACAAUUGGACAGGCAUGUCACAUGGUGCCUGUAGUUGUGAUGUGCAUGCUAUACCUCCGUGUGAUCGAGAUCGAUCCAUAUGAUCGAUGCGCCAUGUGUGCAGUGGCAGCUGACACCCGGCGCUACGCAUGCGCAAGGACCGCUGCGAGACCUGAGCAUUUCUUGGGCCGGGCUUUAAAAAGCCGAACCCCACAAAUCUAAGCCUGAGCCAUGCCCGGUCCUGAACAAACGAACACUAUUCUAUUUUUCUCAAUCCUUUUUCCGGUAGUGAAUACUACCUCCCUCCCAGUUUAUUAGACCCCUAGUAUAUUGAGUCAAACUUUGACCAUUGACAUGACUAAUAAAAUAUAGAAUACAUGCUUAAAGUAGUACAAUGUUGGAUUUGUAUUUGAAAGAGCGUUCGGAAGGUAUAAUGUUUGUGACGUAUAGUUUACAUGUUAUUAGUUAAAAUUGUGAGUCAAACUUUAAUCUAAAAUAAGAGGGAGCCUAAUAAACCCGGACGGAGGUAGUAGUACUUAUCUUUCUAUUGAAAUUACGUAAUUUAUUCAUUUUCAAGAUAUAUUAAUACAUUAGUAUGAUUUUUUUAAUGAAACCUUAUUUUUAGUUUUUUAGAACCACAAUAUAGGCCAGAAGCUCACAAUCACUAUAUAUGUGGCAAUUUCCCAAAAGAAAAAACCCAUGUGUGCCAACAUUUUUUAGGAAAGAUAUUUCUUUCCAUUUCAUUAACGAAACCCCCGCAUGUUCUUACAAGAUACAAACUGCUAAAAGAGCCUGGAGGCCUUUAAUUUGAAAAUUUUCAAAAUCCUAUUUUUUUUGUUUCAAAAAAUUCUGAAACAACACACAUGUAUGCAAGGAUGUAAUGUGUAUGUGUGUAAAAAUUCAGUAUGAAAUAUCUUGAUUUACGAGCUGCAAAUAAAUUUAAUGGAGUAUGAGGAUGAAGAAUACAUAUGCUAAAAAGCCCCAGAUUUUUUUCUGUAGCUCUCAUUUAAACCUAUUUCGAUCUGAAAAUUUGCACACAUGUACAUUAUGUGUAUUACGUGAAUUUGUUUUCAGAAUUUAUUGAAACUGAAAUACGGUUAAGUGUACGCAUGAGCCUACAAAAUACGUACAAGGUAUUUGUAAAUGAUAAAAGUACUACAACAAACAACUCAAAACAGGUGUUCGACGUGGACCUCUUUUGUUUUGCAGGAACAUGGGAAUUAUUAAUGUACAGUAAUGCCUUUUACAAUCAUGAUUGAGCAACUCGGCAAAAAACAAAGUGGCCUCAAGCGGCCAAACAUUGGCCUCUACACCCGCUCCUAGCACCAGCAGCUUGUGCAAGUUGGCGAGCUACCCUGUGUCCUCCUCUAUUAACCUGAACCGAAAUUCAGGAAGUUCAGCCGCAGUAUCUCUAACAUCAGGUAGCAGGCGAUAAUACUACACGCACACGGAAAGAAUCGACAGACUUUCACGGAAUCCACCUCACCUAACCAAAUCCUAGCCAAUCAAUUUCUAACUACACCGUAAUCCCCCUGUAAAUCCCCGUGUGUCUAGCAUUGCUCGAUAGCAGGUGUGCAUGGGCAUGGCGCGACCAUAACUUGAGAGCCUGACUCCACUUGAGGCCAAACUGUUCAUGGCCGCCCAUCCAGUCAUCGGCGUCGCAGACCACGCGGAUUUGUGUUGUAGCAAUCCAUCCGCCUUGCUUGAACACAAAGUUCUGUUGGCAAGCUUCCAGCGCCGUGCGUGUCCUGGAGCAGCGGACGGUAGCAAUUGAAGCACGCGCGUACGUGGGAUACUACCCUACGGUCCUACCCUACUUGCGGGUUGCGGCCUUUUCCUCUUUGAGAAGACGUGCACUCCGACUGCUGCAUCGAUCGUUGUGACUCGUGGGACCCUAUUGGCAUCGCGUGUGCCGCUAUAUAAGCUGGGGUGCUCACACAGCAGCUCCGUCACUCAUCCCACCCUGAUACACUCGUUAACUCGUAACGAACAAGCAGCCAUCGAUGGAGGCUCCACGCAAGCUGUCUCCGCCGCGCUCGUGCUGGUGCUGCUGCUCGCGGCCACGGGGGAGAUGGGAGGCCCGGUGGCGGUGGCGGAGGCUCGGAAGUGCGAGUCGCUGAGCCACAGGUUCGCGGGCCUCUGCCUGCGCGGCCACAACUGCGCCAACGUCUGCAGGACCGAGGGCUUCCCCGGCGGCAAGUGCCGCGGCGCCCGCCGCCGCUGCUUCUGCACCACCCACUGCCGCUAGUAGCCUAGCGGCAUGCAUGCGUGCUGGCACCUUUGUGCGUGUGAUUGUGUCCAUGUCCAUGAAUAAACCUCAGCUUGUCUACUAUCUUGGCAUGCAGGCCGAGCUGGGUAUAAGAAACAACUUCUUCUUGUGUCCGUUCCAUGUUUGGGUUCGUCCUCAAAGUUGCAGUGAGGUUCGAUGUGUUCCUUUCACGUGUGUUGUGUUGUGUGCGUGUAAGCGUGUUCCCUCAGUCACUCAUUUGCUCCGUACACGGAACGACGUGCAUGUCGCAUGCUACUUCCGUCUAUGCUUUUUUGUUUGUUUGAGAAAAGUGUGAUCGAGGCAUGUGUGCAGCAAGGAACACGACAGCUGACACCGAGUAAAUUGCACAGAAGUACCACAAUUGGGACAUUAGAAGCAGAUUGAUAAUUUUUACGUGUCAGUAUCAACUUUGGGGCGGGCGAGGCGUUGCAAAAAAGACUAAAACUGCAGUUUAUACGUAUUGACAGGGAAUCUGACUGAUUGGGCCCGCCUGUCAGGUGCUGACGUGGCAAGUUUUUUGCAGAAAACUCCCUUGGUUUGUGAGUAAUCAUGUAAAUGCCCAAUUAUUUCGGGAAAAAAGGCUCCUAUGAGAGGCUUUUUUCCGUUCGUAAUUUCCACCACGGAUUCGGACUCGUUUGCAAAUUUGCGUCGGUUUGAACAAGUAAAUAAAACGAACANNNNNNNNNNNNNNNNNNNNNNNNNNNNNNNNNNNNNNNNNNNNNNNNNNNNNNNNNNNNNNNNNNNNNNNNNNNNNNNNNNNNNNNNNNNNNNNNNNNNNNNNNNNNNNNNNNNNNNNNNNNNNNNNNNNNNNNNNNNNNNNNNNNNNNNNNNNNNNNNNNNNNNNNNNNGGCGUUGCAAAAAAGACUAAAACUGCAGUUUAUACGUAUUGACAAGGAAUCUGACUGAUUGGGACCGCCUGUCAGGUGCUGACGUGGCAAGUUUUUUGCAGAAAACUCCCUUGGUUUGUGAGUAAUCAUGUAAAUGCCGAAUUAUUUCGGGGAAAAAGGCUCCUAUGAGAGGCUUUUUUCCGUUCGUAAUUUUCACCACGGAUUCGGACUCGUUUGCAAAUUUGCGUCGGUUUGAACAAGUAAAUAAAACGAACAAAAAAACAAUCCCGUGCAGGAUUCGAACCGGGGACCUGCGGUACAGCAGAGCAGCGGGCUAGCCACCGCGCCAUGGCUGCGCUCGCGUCAAGAAGCAGGCAGAACGGUUUUUAUACUAGACAUGGGCAGGCUGGGCCGGCCCACCGAGGCCUGCAUUGUUUUUUCCUUUCGCACUUACCUGGCGUAUUGGGGCUCAUUCGUUGCCCAGAUUUCUUUACGUUUCAUUUCUCUUACUUAUUAUGCUUUAUUUUUUAUUCUGGUUUUGGUUUAUUUUUAGGUUUUUCUUUCUUAUUUUUUCAUUCGCUAGGUUGGUUUAUCUCCUGGAUUUUUAACAUAUUUACUGAACAUUUUUUAUGAUGGGUUUUAGUAUAUGAUGAACAGUGAACAUUUAUUUCAUGUAAUGAACUUUUGGUAAUAUACAUUGAACAUGUUUUCAAUGCCAAUUUAAUAUUUUCCUAAUAUAUGUUGAAUUUGUUUCUUAAGAUAUGAUGACAUUUUGCAUAAUGCGCGGUGAAAUUUUCGUAAUUUAUGGUGAACAUUUUCUUAAUACACGAUGAGUUUCAAGAAUAUUAUGAUUACACAAUUUCUUAAUUUAUAGUAAACAUUUUUAAUACACGAUGAACUUUUCUUACAAACAGUGAACACUUUUCUAAUAAUAUGAACGUUGAACAUAAUUUGAAUGCAAAUGGAAUAUUUUUGUAAUAUAUGUUGAAAUAUUUUCUUAAGAUAUGAUGAAAAGUUUACUUAAUGCACGGUGAUUUUUUUAUAAUUUAUUGUGAGCAUUUUCUUAAUACACGAUGACUUUCAAGAGCAUUAUGGUGAACAUUUUCUUAAUACAUGGUGAAUUAUUUGCAUUUCAAGAAAUGUUCAACAUGGGUUAAAAACUUAUUGUGUAAAUCAUUCUUGCAUUUCAAGAAACACGUCGAUUUUUUUAAUAAAAUUUGAACACUUUUAGUGCAUUUUGGAGAUUUAUUAUGAUUACAAAUUUAUAUUUAAUACAUGUUGUCAACUUUCUAAUUAACUGUGCAUUUAAAAAAAUAAAAUAUAUAUGUAUUAAUAUCAUGAAUAACAAAUAUAUAUGGGCCGUGCCUGUGUUCUAGUCUGGUGCUUGACACUUAAUAAUACUAAUAUGUAAUCGCAAAAUAUAUAUGUAUUAAUAUCAUGAUUAAAAAAAACAGUAACCCAGCGCGCAGCCACGCUGGGCCAAUCGCCGGCCCAACGUCUUCAGCAUCUACUAUCUACUAUCUAUCUAUCUACUACCCCUAUAAAAAGAAGAGAGGGGCAGAUCCAAACAAUCUCAUCCAUCCAUCAGCAAAAUUCAAUGACUUAAUCCUUCGGUGUUUAACGCUGCAAACCACGCAUUAAGCCACUAACAAGCCAUCGAUCGAUAACCCAGCCCCGCAGUUAAUCACACGACUCUCGCCCCUGCCCGCACCUCCCUCUUCGCACGACUCUCACCCCUGCGCGCACGACCUCCACCUCCUCCUCCCGCGCCGUUCGCCGCCCCGCAAACUCCGGCAGCCGUUAACCGCCCUUCGCCGCGGGAGCAGCCGCUCGCCACUGCAGCCGCCGCCCGCGGGAGAAGCCGCGGGAGCCGCUCGCCGCUCGCCGCGGGUCGCCCUUUGCCAUGGUCGCCGCCGGAGCCGCCCCGCCCCUGGAUCCGCUCGCCGUUGGUCCCCGCCGGAGCUGCCCCGCCCCUCCCCGGCGCUCCAACCCCAACUCCCCGACUCUCCAUCCUCCCCGCUUCUCAUCACCACCGCCGCACUCCCCGAAGCCCAUCUCUCUCCAGCCUUCCUGCCCGCAUGCAGCCCUCGCCCUCGGCACCGCACGGGCCAGGCCCUCUCUCCUCGGUUAUGGCCACCAUGGAGAACCUGACCCGUAGGGCAUACCCUCCUCCUCUGAUGCGUAACACCCAUCCCUGCCCCGGCGGCUGGGAUCAUGUCCGCCAUCAUGAGCAGGUGCUCCGCAUCCGAGUGCACCGACUCAGAGGUAGAGGUUGGGCUGUAGUUCUUGGACGCCAAGGAAGAACGCAAGUUGUUGCCGCCGCCGAAGAUGAAAACUGGUGGUAACUGGUAAGCCUCUGCAAGCCCCCACCUAGCCUCCCGCCUCUUAGUUCUUCUCCUUUUUUACUCUAGAUGGAUGAUGUCUGAUCUUGUUCACUUAGUCUCCAAUGCGUGAGGAAGAAAAACAGUCACCUCUAACGUCGAUCAGCAGAGCCCAUGUCUUUUGCAUGUAAAGAGACUCUGAGUUAGUGGUUUUCUAUUUACUACAUGCAUACAUCCAAGAACGACUCUACUGAAAAGUAUUAGAAAUUAUUUACAAAUAGCUUUAAGCAAGAAAUGCAACGAGAUGAUUACAUUACAAUGCUCUUUUCUCUCUUCGUUACUACAACCUUGAUGAUGCUUGGGUGAUUCAACUGAAUAGUUGAUGGAUUAAAAUUCAUAUUACAAUGUGGAAAAUGUAGCAGUUUCAGAUUACAAGAUUCAUGUUGCCGUUGUAUAUAAAGGGAGAAUUAAUGUAGUUGCUCUGUAGGAAGCAUGUAGUUUCUCUGUAGGACUCCUGGUGUGCUGCUGGAAUAAACUGGAGGUACAUGUUUUUGUAAUUUUUUGUUGAUAGCUUACCAAGCUGACCACUUGGUAGAGGUACAUGUUGAUUUGUUCUCUUUCAGGUGAUGGAACUCUAUCCUACGCGCAUAGCAGUGAUGGAACAUAGCGUACUUUCACCCUUUUUUCCAGAUCGAGAUGGUGGAGGCAGCCAGUGUCGUGGCCGAGCGCUGGGGAGCUUGUCGGUGUUUUGAUGGAGAAGGCCGGCCGCCUCCUCUCCCUACCAAGUCUUUUUGGCCCAUAGAUCGAGUUCAUGGUUGAUAAGGAAGGUGUGGUCGAUUUCACCAGGCUGGGUCCGAAGGUCCCGAAGUCCUAUGGCAUGAACUGGCCACGGCGCAUCCGGCUGGAUGCACUUGCUCAACACCUUUCCAUCUCUGUACAAUCAGGUAGAUAUUUUCUCACGUGCCAAAUAUUAUUUUUAGGUUGCCAAAUAGUAGUCUAGGAACUAUAGAAAGUGGAUUGCUGAGUUUGCCAAGCAUAAUAGCACACCUAUUAUCAGAUGACCUGAAGAGUAUAUCAAGCAAAGAUGCUUUCAGAUUUAUGCAUGCCUAUAUUAGGUUCCUACUUGUGUGAAGAUAACACUUUGCAUCAGGCUUGUGAGCAACCGUAAGUUGUUUUGCAUGUGAUACUACUUGUGUGAUUAUUUUUACCUUCGGAAAAUUUCCUUCUUAUUAUAUAUCAUAUGGAAUUCUUCAACCAGAGGAGAGCAACUCAAUGAGUUUGCAUACAUUCAGCCAUCUAUGUUGAUGCAACUCAACUAACAAAGAGUAUUUAAGAAAAGACUGCAGUUUGUAAAGCCAGUGGACAAAUUAGUUCUGCACAGUCCGGCAUUAGCGGCGUGCAUGCAGUAAUUCAUCAAUGUUGGGGGUCAGUGCUAUGAACAUCAAGCUUCACCUUUACCAGUGGCAUUAAUUUGUUGUUUUUGUUUUAUAUCAAAUAAUUUACCAUUCUUCAGUUUUGCAUAUCAUAUUUUGGUUCUGAAUUUGUAUUUGGAUAUUUCUGCAACCUUAUUUCUAACAUGCCUUCAACUACUGUUUAUCGCACAAAAAGUCGAAAAAUGUGGAAUAGAGAACUAUUACGGGUAAUACGAAUUGUUUUCUCAUGCAGACUACAAAUUCUCUGUAAUUCACGUGGUUUUGGAAUUUGUUUAAUGUGCAAAAUAUGUACAAGGCUUGUGAGCGGCCAUUUUUAGCCAAGUACUUGUAUAAGUUCUCUUGUAACUUAGCUAUCAGCUUAUUACGAAAGGCUUUGAGGAUUCUUAAUCUAAACUAAAUUUUUAUACCUGUAGUAAUCUUCUGUUAUGAUUUAAUAUUGCACCACGUUAGUCUUGCAUCACGUUAGACCCUGGGUUUGUACUUGCUGCAAAUGCUGUAGGAACUCAACGGCUGUACUUGCUGAAAAUUUCAAUUGAUCAACAUGGGAGUAGUGGUCUCAUGAUCUAAGACUAAGAGUAGAUUUAUUUAUUCUGUUCUAAUAUGUUUAAGAGGGGGAUGAGAAAGUUUCUGCUUAGGUUUGCGUUGCAAGUGAAAGCUUAGUUUAGUAGCAAGGUUAUAACGUGCGUUGCACGUGCAAACUUACUAGUAGUAUAAAGAAGUUCUCGCCUCUUUUACUUCGCGAGGGCAGCCGUGGCGGGGUGGCUAGCCUGCUGCUCUGCUGUACCUCAGGUCGCCGGUUCGAUUCCUGCGCGGGAUUCAGGAUUUGUUCCUUUUAUUUACUUGUUCAAACCGACGCAAAUUUGCAAACGAGUCCGAAUCCGUGGUGGAAAUUACGAACGGAAAAAAAGCCUCUCGUAGGAGCCUCUUUCUCCGAAAUAAUUGGGCAUUUACAUGAUUACACACAAACGGAGGGAGUUUCCUGCAAAAAAUUUGCCACGUCAGCACCCGACAGGCGGGCCCAACCUGUCAGAUUCCCUGUCAAUACGUAUAAACUGCAGUUUUAGUCUUUUUUGCAACGCCUCGCCCAAAGUUGGUACUGACACGUAAAAAUUACCAAUCUUGAUACCAAUCUGUUUCCAAUGCCUCAAUUGUGAUACUUUUGUGCAAUUUACUCGCUGACACCCGUCGCUGCUCAUGCUCAUGCAUGAUGGACUGGCCACGCGUAAAAGGUCCCGGCCUCUAGGAGUGCGAAGUUAUGGUGCUCGGGCAGUCGGGCACCAUGAUGCCCUUUAUUUUCAUUUUUUUAAAACACACACACGCACGCGCGCGUGCGCGCGCGCACACACACAUAUAGAAGUAAAAAAACAAAAAAAACAAAAUCUGUGGAAACAUGUUAUAUGUGCACUGCGGAUCCAUGAAAUUUUGUUUCCAAAAAAAUGUAUUGUGUAAGCUGUACAAAAAAAGAUUCUGUCCCAAAAGCAAAAAGAGGCCCAUUUGAAAAAUACAUAUUUGUCUUUUCUUUGUACGCCUCAUGUGAAAGUAAGAUGUUAUGAAAUUUUGCACAUACAUAGUAUACAUGUGAGUGUGUUUACAAAAAAUUCCAAUCUUUUUUCCCUAUAGAAAAUGUUUUUUCGCGACCUCUAGCAGGUUCAAAGCUGCUUCCUAUUCAGCGCUUCACCCGCGCUGGUUAAAGGCGUCCACGUACGUAAACCAACUGGGCCGGCCUGUAAUGCAUUGAAACAUUCCUGAUUUUUGUGCAGCUUUGUGGUCACUUCUAGGAAGCUUCUAGAAGCAUCAAACCAUUUUUGGGAAGCUUUUGACCGAUGUUUUCUUUGCCUGUUUUUUAAUUUUCAUUUUUCGUUUUUCUUUUUCUUUAUUUAUUAUUUUGUAUUUAACUUUUUUAAAUUCACAAACCUUUUUAAUAUUCAUGCACUUUUUAAAAUCUGUGAAUAUUUUUUAAAUUUAUAUUUUUAUAUAAAUUCGUGAACAUAUUUAAAAUCCAUAAACAUCUUGAAAUUCAUGAACUUUUCCAAAUCCGAAUUAUUUUUCAAAUCAUUGUUUUUAUUUCAAAUUUGUGUUUUUUUUAAUUCAUGAACUAUUUUCCAAUCCAUGAUUUUUAUUCAAAUUCACAAAAAGAAACUCUGUUUGUUCCAAAAGUCAACGGUCUACAGGCCGACCAGGUCAACCAUGAAGAGCGACUAGGCGCGUGAGCUUGAUGAGCGAGCUGCUCGCUCGCAUAGCUAGCCCUGCCUACACAGGGGGGCGAGUGAGCGCUGCCUAGCUACCAGGCGCAGUGAGCGCUAACUAGGAGCUGCCACAGCAAAAAGCAUAGCUGGCUUCCCUCUUAAUGACAAAUUUGCACAAAAUGGACCUUUUGAAGAAAUCUAAGCCCAAGAGGCCCCUAAUUCACCUAUGGACCCCCUCCAGUGGAUGAUUGCGGUUCAUAUAUUAACAUGGUCAGUAUUAUCACGAUUUUACCUGCUACUUAUGUCCGACGAUCAAAAUUGGUCCAUAUAUCGUCACAUAUAUAUAAGUAAACUAAAUAGUUGCUCGUGCCACUAGUGGAAAAAGGCUCAUUUGUCCCGGUUCUGGAACCGGGACUAAAGGGUCGAGACUAAAGCUCAAACCUUUAGUCCCGGUUUGCUUAUGAACCGGGAGUAAAGAAGCUCCACGUGGCCGCUGUCUGGAGCUCCACCUUUACCAACCAGGACUAAAGAAUUUUUUUUAAAAAAUUUAUUUUUCUGAAUUUUGUUGAAUUUUUUUUGAUUUUUUUCUUAUUUUCAAAUUUCUGAAUUAUUUGACAAUUUAAUCUCUAAUCAUCCCUCAUCACUGCUCACUGCUCAAUUAUAAACCACUCAUUUCAAAUCGUCUAACUUCCCAGCAAGUCACGCAUCUUCUCACUACUCCAUCCUGAGCAUGCUUAACUUUCGAGUUCUAUUCCCCCUAGUUUUCAAGUGCUUUUCCUGACAAUACUAAGCUGUCAAUCCUAUUAACACUUAGGAGUUGAACUUGAGCAUUAAGCACCGUUUGAGUUUGAAACUAUUAUUCUAAAAAAACAAUUAUUAUUUAGUAACACUAAUAUUUCUUGAAUAAGUAGUUUGACCAUAGUUUGACCAGAUUUGACCAUAGUUUGACCACAAUUUGACCAAAAGUCAAAAAAGAAAAAAUAAUUAUUUAUUAACACUAAUAUUUCUUGAAUAAGUAGUUUGGCCACAGUUUAAUCAGAUUUAAUGGAAAGUCAAAAAAACUGAAAUUUGAGCAUAUUUGUUUUCUUUCAGAAUUUCAGGAUUCUAAAAAUUUGCAAACAGGUCUACGGCUGUCAAAAUCGAAUGUGGAUUUUCGUGCUUUUUUUUGAUAUAUUAUGCGUUUUUUCGACAUCGUAUGCAAAAGAUAUGACCGUUUUACUUUUUCAUAACACUUUUUUUGCAAAAUAUGUCCAAAUUUAAGCUUUUUAAUUUUCCUAACUAGUAGAUGUAAUAACAUAACUACAUCUCGAAGGAUUUAAUUUUUUAAGUUUUUAUCAUUUUCUUUUGGAUUUUAAAAGACUGAAAAGGCGAUACACGGGGGGUAGAGUUUGAAUCUUUAGUCCCAGUUUACGACACGAACCGGGACUAAAGAGUGCGAUGCCCUUUAGUCCCGGUUCGUGUCUCAAACCGGGACUAAAGGUCCCAUUUGAACCGGGACUAAUGUCUUCUCGACGCCUUAGCCGCUUGAACCGGGACUAAUGCUCAUAUUAGUUUCGGUUCGUGAUGCAACCGGGACUAAAGUGUACAUUGAGCUGUGACCAAAGCCCUGUUUUCUACUAGUGUGCAUUGUAAUGGGGCACACUAUUUUCUACCCAAACAUUGUGAUUUAUCGUACAUUUUGUUGUUAUAUGAUAAUUACAUACUAAAUGUCGCAACUGAAUAAGUACUUAUUGAUUUACCAAAGAAAACAUGAUUCUAUUAGUUAAAUCAAUAAGGCGUGGACCAGUUGAGGUGGUUCAAAAGAGAAUCGAUGAGAUAUUUUUAAUAAAACCUUGUGUUCAUUUUAAGUAGGAUAGAUGUUGCCGCAUUUUUCUAAAUCAUUGGGUUUAGAUUAGGGGGGUGGGUGCAAAUCAAGCGUGUGGCAACUCUAACGAGCUUGCAAAACUGGUUGUAUGUGCAAUCUUAUUAUAGCAAUCAAAUAUAUCUAAAUGCAUCUUUUUUUUUGAGGAGGUACGCAAAUUGUGCACCUUAGCUUUAUAGAAGGAGAGAAAUAAGACAUACAACAACGUCUACCAUUCGCUGCGGAGAACGAAGGCGACCAACUCCACACCCGGUUCGAACAAGGACAACCAAACACAACAACCUACCCAACACCGAGCCCCUCGCCGCGUCUCGACCGACACUGAAGACCUCCGAAGAACAGCAACUCCAGCUUCCUUGGAGUAGCCAGCGACGACCGUACAUGGCGCCGAAGGAGAAAGAUCCGGGUAGCGGUGAACACCGGAGGAGCGCAUCAUGGGACCUCGAGUCUCCCAGCAUAAUGCUCCCAACAGAGUAACAACCUCAAAGACGUUGCCAUCAUGCCGAUCCUACGAAUCAAGGCUUUCACCCCGGAGACAGCUGACGAAAUGAGGUCGCGAGGAAGAUGGCGUUGCACUCGGCGAAGCCUCCAAGAAGGGGAAUGACACCCGCAGGCGCCAUCAACGCCGGUCCGGCCACAACCGAACAGGAUUUUCAUCCGUAGCUCUGCACAUCUCCGAGUCUCCAAGAUCCCGACCAGCCCCGAUCAGAUGCCUCGCACCGCCGUCACCACAACAACUUGCCAUCGAAGCCCCCCCUCACUGCCGAGGGGACACGCCUAAAGCCAUAGCCUUCAACAUCGACUAGGAGCUGCAGCAUCCACCGAGUGGUGCAAAGCCAUUUCCGCCACAGUGGCCUUCACCCAUCCCAGGGGACUGCCACCAGAAUGGAUCCGACCCGCACCUCCGACCAUCCUCCAGCACGCACACCGCCGAGGCAUCGCCGCACGCCUCACAAGGUAGCAACCGAACGCCCGCUGCCCGCCAAGACCCUUCCUGGCAAGGCCUCGCAGCGCCGCCGCCGCCAUGGCUGCGCUCGCACCGCCGCCACCGCCAGUGCCGGUGCACCACCUGCAUCCUCCAUCCUGCUACGUUCCACGCAAGGAUCCAGCGAUAACCGCCGCACCCCAUGUCGUGAGAACCUCAAGGACGCCGGCCAGUGCCAAAAACGCACCAGAUCUGGCCCGAGAUCCUCGGGUCCGCACGGAUCGGCCCGCUCGGAACUGGCCAGGCACGAACUCCCCCGCGGCGAGGAGCACCAACCCGCAGCCGUCCUGCGCACUCCACCGCGACGCGCCGCCACCAGACCGCCGCGACGCCCCACACCACCUCCGGCCAGCGCGCAUCUCCGCCGCGUCGGCCACCGAGAUUCGACGCCAGGCUGAAGAAGUGGUCCCGCCGGCCUGCGCACGCGACGCGCCGCUGCCAGACCGCCGCGACGCCCCGCACCACCUCCCGCCAGCGCGCAUCCACCCGCCACGCCAGCCACCGAGAUCCGCCGCCAGGCCGAAGAAGCGGUCCCCCGCGACCACCGCUCCAGGUGAGGGCAAGAUGAAUCCCGCCGCCGCCGGCACCACACGGGCUUUGUCCGACGGCGACCGCCGCCGGCGGCGGCGGCGGCGGGGAGGGGGAAAGGGAGGGAGGCUGGGGUCGGCGGCGGGGUUAGGGCACCCGAGUCGCCCGCGGGGGGGCGACGCGGGGCAGUUAUAUCUACAUGCAUCUAGCUGUCACCAAACCAAACACUCGCUUUUUGCCUAUGUGUUCCACCCCUCAAAUUUUACUAUGCCAUGCACGACUCAAUAUUUUUCUUUGACUUUUUUUUGCUGUGAUACAUAAUAAUGAUCACAAAAAUUAGCUUUGACUACAGUGGAUUUUCACUAAAUAAGAUUGAGAGAGUGAAAAAUCACUCCCUCCUAUUCCUAUAUGUCCAAUCCUCACAUAUGCAACGAAUAUAGAUCGACCUAAGUAUCAGAGCCAACAACCAAGCUUUCCGAACUAAAACAAUUGAAGGAGCGUAAACAUCAAGAACCAUCAUCACCCAAAAACAAAUGAAACCUUCUCACAGGGCCCCCACGUCGCUCUCUCCCCGGGGCGGCACGGGCGGCGACCACCGCCCCUCUCGCGGCCUCCCCAACUCCAGCCUCUUCUCCCCCUCGCCGUCGCCGGUGGCCUCCGGCAGGCAAAGCCUGCGCGGAGCCACCGGCGACGGGGCGCUCUCUGUAGCUGCUGCUCGCUCGGGAGGAGGGGCGCUCGCAUGCGGGUCGCGGCUGUCCGGCGCUCGGCCUCGUGGCGGCAUUGCUGCUCGCGGCGGAGGCAGUCUCCGGCAUAUGGCGCGGCGUCUGGUCGCGGCGGUGGGCGCGCCGUCGCGGUGCGCGCGGUCACGGUCGUCGGCCUCGUGCGGUCCCGAUCCGAUCUGGGAUCCUGCUGGCGGCGGUUGGCGCGGACGGUGUGUGGCGCCGGGGCGGCGGCCUCGGUCCGAGCUCCUGAUGUGGCCGGGGCGUGGACGGCGCGCGCUCGCGUGGUGGUGGCUCGGUUCUGGCUGUGCGUGUGGGGCGCAGCGACCAGUCGGGCGUGGUGGCUGCAGGUGCGUGUCGGGCGCAGUGACCGGCGGUGCGUGACGGGUGUGCUUCUCUGGAGUGCGAGGUGUGCUGCGGAGGGGAUCCUGCUCGUCUGCUCUACUGCUUUGCAUGUGCAACUCCGAUUGCAUAUGGUGCGAGGUGCAUCGAUCUGGGUGCUGCGCUUCGCGAUGCGGCGUGGGUUGAUGCGGUGGUGGUGGCCACGGUGGUGCUGCGGUGGUGGACGGCGGCUUCGGCCAGGGGGUGGUGCAUGUCAUGUCGCGGUGGAUCAUGGGAUCCCGUGGCCUGAAUGAGGUCGGCCUCAGUAGGUGGUGGCUGGUGGGCGGUGGUCGGUGGUGGUAGGUGGUCGGCGCAUCUCCAGGAGAAAUCUUUGCUUCAGCCUUCUUCGGAGAUGGCGACGGCGGCGCCCGCGGGUGCAGUGAUCUUUCUUGGAAGCGUUGUCGUGGAGGUGUGCUCCUCCUCCCCACGGAUUUGGCUCCGGAGGGAAACCUCAGAUCCGCUGGGUCGGGCGAUGAAGGCGUCUUCGCGUCUUUCUCCUCCUUGGGCGCAUCGUCUCGGAGCCGGCUACGACUGGGAGACUGGUGGAUUGCGGCAUCUUCGCCGUGGAUGGCGGCAUCUUCGCCGCGUGGUCUGCUGAGGCGGGGCACUGGUUUCUGUUUGGCAACGAUGAUGGCGUCAAGAGGAGGUCGGGUCGCGGCGUGGACUUCGGUAGUCGGUUCUUCCCGGCGUGUCCGAGGUGCUCUUCUGUGGGCACGGUCGGCGCAAGUCUUGCAUAUUUCCCUAGUGAGGCUCGUCGUCAAAGUCGGAGCUGUCAGUUGCUUGCGCGUGUGGCCAUCCGGUGGCAUGUGCCGUCGUGGCUUCUAUACAGCUGUUUGCAGGUUGGCUUUGAGGUUGGAGCUCUAUGGUGAAGUCGGAGUCGCUCGUUCGAGGCAAUCGGUGAUGACGAUGACGCUUGCGACUCCUCGGCGAAUGCCAUUCUUCUUUGCAGCUUUGUGUUCCAUGUCGGUGGCCUGGUUGGCCGGUGAUGCCCAUGUCAGGUGGGUUGAGUUGUAUCGGUUUUAGCCCGGUUUUUCGCAAAUUAACCGGGCAAUUCUCUCUUCUUCUUAAUCAAUGAAAAUGGCAAAUCUUUUGCCUCGUUUCAAAAAAAAAAAACAACAACAAAUGAAGCAAGACUAAAACUAUAAAUUCAAGAACUUGUAGGGGUCACAUGGACCGCUGGAAAAAAUUUGUACCUUGAGAGCUGUGAUAUUUUUAAAACAAGAUCAGCCAGGAAUAGCUCUUAGCAACAUAUUUUUAUAGAAGAAAAUCUCUAAGCAUCCGGCAGAGUAUACCGCUUUAGCAUAUGUACAAAUCUACAAAACACACAAUAGGUGGUAUUUAAAAUUAAAAUGUAUGGAAAUAAAUGGUCAAAGUGUAGCACGCAUCUCAAAGCUCGCCCCGACGCUGGAUUCUUUGGUGUUGCCUACCGGGUGGGCACCCUAGAAAAAUCGUGUUCGUGUCCACCGGCCGAAUCGAUGCGUUUAUGAUCAACCGCUCGCCGCUCCCUACCCUUGCUAGCUCACGGCAAUCCGGUCGUCGUCGUCGUCACAGACCACGUGAGUUUUCUUGUAGUAAUCCAUGGCGUCGCCGGAUCGACCUUUGGCUCUUUCCACAUACUACCUACCUAAUUGCGGCACAUAUUUGUCGCCUUUUUCAUUUGGAUGCAACUGCAUCGCGUUCGGUUUGACCCAUGGCUUCGGCAGCUUGUGCGCGCCGCUACAUUAUAAGCAGGUGCGCUCACACAACUAGCAGCUCCAUCACUCCACCACCACCCUGAUACACUCAUAACAAGCAGUGAUCGGUCGAUGGAGGCUUCACGCAAGCUCCUCUCGGCGGCGCUCCUCCUGGUGCUGCUGCUGGCGGGCACAGGGGAGAUGGGAGGCCCGGUGGCGGUGGCGGAGGCGCGGACGUGCGAGGCGAAGAGCCACAGGUUCAGGGGCCCCUGCGUGCGCCACCACAACUGCGCCAACGUCUGCAAGACCGAGGGCUUCCCCGGCGGCAAGUGCCGCGGCUUCCGCCAUCGCUGCUUCUGCACCACCCACUGCCGGCAGUAACCAACCUAUUGCCUCUACUUCGUACGUCCGCCUAGCUGCAGCCUGCCUGCGUGCAUCCUGGCUUGCUCGCACCUCUGUGCGUCUAUAGUAGUUAGCACUGUGUCCAUGAAUAAACCUCGGCCUGUCUGUCAUGGCAUGCUGAAAUGGGUAUAAGAAACGCAGGCUCUCUUUUACUCUAUAUUAACUAGAAGAACGCCCGUGCGUUGCAACGGGGCCACAUUAAUUUUAAGAAUUCAAUAUUACGACAUUGAUGAUCUUUUUUACCAUCAAAUCCUCACACACACAGACACACACUCUCCCUCCCUCUUCCUCACUCUCUAUCCCCCUCUCCCUCUCUCUCUAACACACACACAUAUCUAUCUUAUUGGGUACGGGACCAUAAUCCAUCUAUUUCACAGAUACACGCUACUGCAUAACAAUAUGGAUUAUGUGUAUUAUAUUUGCCACCAGAACCGAGGAAAUUAAUUUCAUGUAAAUCGACCAACCACAGCUCCAAGAAUACGCGGACGAGGUGGCUCGGAUCGGUGUCGGCGCCGUCCAGCGCGGACCACGGACCCGCUACCAAGUGCACGUACAAUGCACGUCUUCACAAAUAUUAUAACCAGAUGUGAGAAAUCACAUGCAUAGAAAAGACAUUCUGAUAGCAAUCCAAAUACCAUACUCAAUUGAAUACCUAACCUGGACAAUACUCUUAUUUCUAUGCGCCAAAAAAAAUGGAAUAGCAAAGCUAAGUAUGCCUACAUACGCUCAGAUUAUAUAUAAGAAUCUUGGGUGAACAAUUGCAACAAAGCACUAAGCAGCGAUAAAUCUAAAUAACAAAUCCAUUAACUAUGCAGGCAGCAGGCUUGUUACAACAUAGAGAGAUAGGAAAAUGUCACCUCCAGUAAUGUAGCGCAAAGGAGUGGAACGAAGCAUGAAUGAGCGGUUGUCUGUUCUUCUCCAUGUACAUGGAUCAGUAGUAGAGGCCAAGUAUAUAAGUACUUGACUGAACUCCACUCUUCGUGUACGGAGAGCCAUGUCACCUUCUCACCGCUGCAGCAUGGGAGGACGGCUGGUUCACGUGACCCUCCAGCUGGGGGAUCCAUGGUGUCUGACCGUCGAGCUCGAGGCAGAGAAGUUGAGGGCAGCAGUGGCGAGAUCCAUGCCGGCCAACCGGGCGAAGAGGAGGUCGUCGGGGAGGGACACAUCGGCAAGAUCCGGUCACCACGCGACCUGAAGAGCAACAGUGAUCUCCACAAGCUGUAGUCCGACGGCGUGCUCCAUCCCCUGCGAUGGGGUGACCAUGGCGGUGGCCACAGCUCCUCAUGCUCGCCUCGAUCUCGGCGACACACCCUAAGUGUAGGAGGCAGCAACGACCUCGACGAAAUCAUGGCCUCCAUCCCGGAACGCAUGAAGGACCUCGGCCCUAUCGCUACUCCUCCCGCCGUAGCCGCACGCGGCAGCGGACCGUGGGUAGGAGGCCAGGCGGCGUCGCCUCGGCUGACGGCAGGGAGCAGCGUUGAUUUCGGGUAGGUGGCAUCGCGAGGACGGCCGCGGCCGCGGGGAGGCACCCCGAUCAUGCUGCCAGGCCAAUCCUUCUCCUCCGACCCCCUAUCCCCGAAGAUUGCGCCGCCGCCCCGGUCGUGUUGUUUUCAUAUGCCAUUUUUUCCUGUACCUAAACAAAAGCGGGCGAGCGGAUGGCAGAGUUUUGGUCCGCCCUCUAAAAUUGCUAAACACACUUUUGGUGAGGAUUAUUGUUAAUAAAUGAAUUCAAUCAUGUCGCUCUAAAUAAAUGAAUUCAAUCAUGUGACUCUAAUUACUUCGGAUUGUUAUGUGCACACUAAGCGGGGUGUAGUUAGGAAAGAAAAUGUUUUCUAAUUAAAGUGAUUGAGUGAUUUAAGGUAAGGUUAAUUAAUUUAGAUUUGAUUUUUAGUGAUUGUUAGUAAAGUAUGAUGGGUCUUUAAAAUCUUUUAUUUGUUUCCUUAAAAUCUAUUAUUUGUUUCCUAUAGAAAUUUGCAAUAAUGGAAGGUAUCGGUUGAUUUGGAUAAGUUAGUAAAUUUAGAUCCGUGAGUGCGUGCACAUUUGGAAAGUGCUGAUUUACAAGGAAAGAGCUGAGGGGUAAAUAAACCGGUGAAUAAGAAAUCAGCAUCGAAAAAAAUCUACGACGGUUAACCUACGGAAAAACACCGGACGAAAGUGGUGGGACGAAAAAAAACCUGGAAGCAAGACUACCAACUGCUCCAUUAGGAGUAGAGAUAAUGGAUCUGUCUAGGUCUCAGUCGAAGUCUAAGUCGAUUGAUGACAUCAGCAUGCAGACUUGUUUUAUUUCUGUAAUUGUUUGUAUGUUUUUGGCGUUAUGGGCUGCCUUUGUAUUUUUAGUGGGCUUUUGUCACCUUUUCCACUGUGAGCAAUGCUUUGUUGCCAGAUUUUCCCCUCUUCCUUGUGCUUGGGCUGUACGACCACACAUAUAUGUGUGUUUUGCUAUGCAGCUACAAACUUAACAAUUAUGAAUAAAAAACUACAACCUCAAGUCCUCAACGAGUGAGGCAGCUUUUUUGUGUGUUCAAAUCAUUGCAUUUGUUUUUGUCAGAAAAAUCCUUGUAUAUGCAGUACGGUGCUUGUAGUUUUUUUAGAUGGGCAUGCAACUUAUUGUCAUUUUUCAUUCAAGGAGAAUACAAGGAUUUGAACACAAGCAAAUAUAUUCACAAGAAUAAUAAUGUGAUGCGCGCACAAGCAAUGGAUAAAAAUAAAUAAAAUGAAGAUAAAAAUUAAUAAAAGACACCAAUCGAGCACCCUCCCGCCCACGCGUGCCUUCUAGUUGCGUGCUUAUAUCACCUGUGGUUGCAUGCGGUGUGAAGUAUAUGUAGUUGCAUGCGCAACAGUAGGUUGCACGUUUGCAGUAUCAAAUUUUAGAAAACAAUAUAAAACAAAAAAUAAAAGAAGAAAAAACAUCACUAAAUAUCAGUUGAGUUUUGAAGUUACAGUCAAGGGCGAUUGUGCAACCAGAUGACAAUAUACUAAAAACUUAUUCUUUAAUAUAAAUUAAAAAUCAAAAAGUAGCAAGAAUCUUACAAUUAGAAAAGAAAAAGGAUAAACAGAAAAAAUAUUAAAACAUGAAAAAUGGUUGCAUUUGUAUCUGCACCCUGCCCACGACAAAAACCGACAUAGAGUUGUAGUCGCGGCAACACUUACAGUUGCAUGCCUAGUGACAAACAUGCAACCGCCCCUCCCUAAAAAACGCCGUAGAGAUGUAGUCGGGGCGAUCUUGGAGGGGCCCCGGAUCGCCGAGCAUCUCGUCGCCGGCGACUUCCGUUGUGAAAACCUUCCUUCCUCUCCUGUUUUCACUCUGUGUCUACGCUCUUCUCUCAAUUCAAACAGUGUCGUUGGAUGGCCUCUAGAAAGAUGUUGAGUCUUGGUCCACAUUCCAGAGACUAAAAAAAAGAAACAACAGCACACUGUCUAUAGUCACUCCCUUCACAAAAAAGCAUUAAAAAACGUGUUCGAGAAUCUGAACAAGUAACUCUUCCCUCCUUUAAUAUGCUCUUUUUUUUGAGAAAAUGAGCUCCGCUCUCAGAAUCAGACACAAAAAAUAAAUUAAUUUUUUUUCUUAAAUCCUUGGGGAAAAUGCAAACAGAAAAAGGAAAAAAUGUAUAUGAAUUAAAAAAACAAGAAAAAAAAAUACAAGCUAGUGUUGCGAGAUCGUGUGCUUGAUUUGUGUUUGCGAGCAUGGUGGAAAACAACGGCGUUAUGGUGCUCUCGUGAGACAUAGUGAGGGUACAGGAUUCACGGAGGAGUUGCAUGUUUGUCACUAGGCAUGCAAUUGCAAUCGUAACUUGGUGUCUUCUAGCAUGGUCGUAACUAAACCCAGUUGCCAACUAAACCCAUCUCUCUCGACGCCGCCCCCUCCAACAAAACAAAGCCCUCCCCCCAGUUGCGACCAAGUUAGAAGACAUGCAGUUGCGUGCCUAGUGUGGGACAUGCAACUGGGCCCCAUCUCUUUUGACGUCGCUCCCUAUGACAAAACAAAGGCCCCCCACCUAGUUGUGACCAAUCUAGAAAAACAUGUGGCUGCGUUCCUAGUGNNNNNNNNNNNNNNNNNNNNNNNNNNNNNNNNNNNNNNNNNNNNNNNNNNNNNNNNNNNNNNNNNNNNNNNNNNNNNNNNNNNNNNNNNNNNNNNNNNNNNNNNNNNNNNNNNNNNNNNNNNNNNNNNNNNNNNNNNNNNNNNNNNNNNNNNNNNNNNNNNNNNNNNNNNNNNNNNNNNNNNNNNNNNNNNNNNNNNNNNNNNNNNNNNNNNNNNNNNNNNNNNNNNNNNNNNNNNNNNNNNNNNNNNNNNNNNNNNNNNNNNNNNNNNNNNNNNNNNNNNNNNNNNNNNNNNNNNNNNNNNNNNNNNNNNNNNNNNNNNNNNNNNNNNNNNNNNNNNNNNNNNNNNNNNNNNNNNNNNNNNNNNNNNNNNNNNNNNNNNNNNNNNNNNNNNNNNNNNNNNNNNNNNNNNNNNNNNNNNNNNNNNNNNNNNNNNNNNNNNNNNNNNNNNNNNNNNNNNNNNNNNNNNNNNNNNNNNNNNNNNNNNNNNNNNNNNNNNNNNNNNNNNNNNNNNNNNNNNNNNNNNNNNNNNNNNNNNNNNNNNNNNNNNNNNNNNNNNNNNNNNNNNNNNNNNNNNNNNNNNNNNNNNNNNNNNNNNNNNNNNNNNNNNNNNNNNNNNNNNNNNNNNNNNNNNNNNNNNNNNNNNNNNNNNNNNNNNNNNNNNNNNNNNNNNNNNNNNNNNNNNNNNNNNNNNNNNNNNNNNNNNNNNNNNNNNNNNNNNNNNNNNNNNNNNNNNNNNNNNNNNNNNNNNNNNNNNNNNNNNNNNNNNNNNNNNNNNNNNNNNNNNNNNNNNNNNNNNNNNNNNNNNNNNNNNNNNNNNNNNNNNNNNNNNNNNNNNNNNNNNNNNNNNNNNNNNNNNNNNNNNNNNNNNNNNNNNNNNNNNNNNNNNNNNNNNNNNNNNNNNNNNNNNNNNNNNNNNNNNNNNNNNNNNNNNNNNNNNNNNNNNNNNNNGACGCCACCCCCUCCUACAAAACAAAGCCCCCCCUUGUAUUAUAGUGUUUGGUGCCUCUCCCCGUACAAGAAAAAUGGAAGUUCGAGUUGCAACCAAGUUAUAAAGACAUGCAGUUGUGACAUGCUUGAAAAGACAUAUAGUUGCGUGUCUAGUGUGGGACAUGCAGUUGGUCACCUCUCUCUCUUGUUGUUUGCCCCUCCGAUAAAACAAAAUCCCCCCUAGUUGCAACCAAGCUAGAAGACAUGCAGUUGCGUGCCCAUUGUGUGACAUGCAAAAAAUUAAUGCCUUCUCCCCGUACAACAGGAAAAUGAAAGUUGAGUUGCAACCAAAGUUAUAGGGCAUGCAAUUGCGACCAAGUUAGAAGACAUGCAGUUGUGUGCCUAGUGUGAGACAUGUAAUUGCGCCCCAUCUCUCUCAACGUCGCCCCUCCAACAAAAAAACGAUCCCCAGUUGCGACCAAGCUGGAAGACAUGCAGUUGCGUGCCCAUCGUGGGACAGGCAACUGGCGCCUCUCCCCGUACAACAGAAAAUGGAAAGUCGAGUUGCAACCAAGUUAGAAAGACAUGCAGUUGCGUGCCUAGUGUGGGACAUGCAAACUGGUGUCUCUCCCCGUACAAACAAAAAAUGGAAGUCAAGUUGCAACCAAGUUAUAACACAUGCAGUUGCAACCAUGCUUGAAGACAUGCGGCUGCGUGCCUAGUGUGGGCAUGCAGGGCCCCCCUCUCUCUCUCUCUCGAUNNNNNNNNNNNNNNNNNNNNNNNNNNNNNNNNNNNNNNNNNNNNNNNNNNNNNNNNNNNNNNNNNNNNNNNNNNNNNNNNNNNNNNNNNNNNNNNNNNNNNNNNNNNNNNNNNNNNNNNNNNNNNNNNNNNNNNNNNNNNNNNNNNNNNNNNNNNNNNNNNNNNNNNNNNNNNNNNNNNNNNNNNNNNNNNNNNNNNNNNNNNNNNNNNNNNNNNNNNNNNNNNNNNNNNNNNNNNNNNNNNNNNNNNNNNNNNNNNNNNNNNNNNNNNNNNNNNNNNNNNNNNNNNNNNNNNNNNNNNNNNNNNNNNNNNNNNNNUCCCUAGUAUGAGACGUGCAACUGGGCCACAUGUCUCUCGACGCCACCCCUUCGACAAAACAAAGGCCCCCUAGUUGUGACUAAACUAGAAGACAUCUAGUUGCGUGCCUAGUGUUGGACAUGCAAUUGGGCCCCAUGUCUCUCGACGCCGCCUCCUCUAACAAUACGAAGGCGCCCCCCUAGUUGUGACCAAAAUCUAGAAGACAUCCAGUUGCAUGCCUAGUGUGGGACAUGCAACUGGACCCCAUGUCUCUUGAUGCCGCCCCCUCCAACAAAAUAAAGGGUGCCCCCUAGUUGCAACCAAAAAGCUAGAAGAUAUGUAGUUGCGUCCCUAGUGUGGGACAUGCAACUCGGUCCCGUGUCUCUCGAUGCCGCCCCCUCCAACAAAACAAAUGGUGCCCCUAAUUGUGACCAAAAAAGCUAGAAUACAUGCAGUUGAGUCCCUAGUGCGGGACAUGCAAAUGCGCCCCAUGUCUCUCGACGCCACCUCCUCCGACAAAACAAGGGUCCCCCCAAAAUUGCGUCCAUGCUCGAAGACAUGAAGUUGCGUGCCCAUUGUGGGGACAUGCAAAAAAACGGGCACCUCUCCCUGUACAAAAAAUGGAAGUCGAGUUGCAACCAAGUUAUAAAGACAUGCAAUUGCGUGCCUAGUGUGGGGCAUGCAACUGGGGCCCCUCUCUUGAUGCCGCAACAACCCCCCCUCCCCCAAGUUGUGACCAAGUUAGAAGACAUGUAGUUGUGUGCCUAGGGUGGGACAUGCAAACUGGUGUCUCUCCUCGUACAAACAAAAAAUAGAAGUCGAGUUGCAACCAGUUAUAACACAUGCAAUUGCUUCCAUUCUCGGGGACAUGUAGUUGCAUCCCCAGCUGUUUGGCAUGCAACUGGGACCCUCUCUCUCGAUGCUGCCCCAUCCGACAAAUCAAAAGGUCAAUCUCGAGUUGCGUGCCUAGUGGCAAGCGUGCAACCAUUCCUUUCCCCUGACAAGGAAACACAGAGUUGAAUCGGGGGCAACACUUACAGUUGCAUGCAUAGUGGUACACAUGCAAGUACCCCUUCCCCGACAAAAACACCACAUAGUUGCAAUCACGUUGAAGAUAUGCAAUUUGCGGUAGGGGGCGAUAUUUGCAGUUGCAUGGCUCAUGGCAUGCAUGCAAGUGCCCGGCCCGACAAAACACCACAAAAUUUCAGUCCGUACAUGACACUUGGAGUUGUGUGCCUAGUGAUAGACAAAUAAUUUUCCACUCCCAACAAAAUUCCACAUAGUUGCAGUCGCAUUGAAGGCAUACAUUUACGUCGGGGUGCGACACUUGCAUAUGUGCCUAGCGUUAAACAUGCAGCUGCCCCCUCCCCUGACAAAGAACAACUGAUUUACAGUCGAUGAAGUCAGGGAGAUUGUGCAACCAGAUGACAAUGAUGUAAAAUUUCAAAAAUAAAACUUGUUGAUCAGUAAAAAAUUAAAAAUAAGGUAACUAGAAUCGUGCCAAAAAGGUUUGAGAACAAUGAUAUAAAAGGAAAAAAAAUAAAAGCAAGAGAAAUGUGAAAAUAGAAAAUGUAAAAAGACAUUCAAACAUGACAAGGAACAUAGACGAAAGAAUCAUUUAAAACACUUACAAGCCCUGUUCAAGAAUUUAUCCGAUUAACCAGUUAACUUGCCGAUUAAUCCCUACUCGUAGGGUCACCGAGUAGCCUAUAAACCGAUAAAUCGUCCGAUUAAUUGAUUAAAUGGCCGAUUAACUUGCGGAUUAGCUGAUUAAUCCCCUACUCACCAGCCAACCGAGCAGCUACCAGUUAACGAUUUCCUCAACAAUGCUUACAAGUAAAUAAAAAACUAAAAAAGAUACAAAAUAGCUGCCCUCCGUAGUUCUCAGCUGCUUCCCCACCCCUCUUCGGACGGUUUGUUUCCCUCGUUGAAAAGUUAAGUGCAAAACUAGACAAAAAAUAAACCUCUCAAGCCGAGCCCAUAGCGCAUAUUUGGCCUACACAAGAGAAAAGAAACAAUAAAAGAAAAAGGAAAUUGGCCCAUCGCACACCUAAGCAAUCUAUUUUAAUAUAAGACAGACAUAGCGGCAUGGAUCUUGAAGCAACAACGAUCUAAUGGCCAGGGAGUCGACUGAGUUUUAACAGUCCCGUAUGAACCUAAAUAGAGAAAAAAAUAGUAGAAAAAAAUUAAAAAGUCGAGGCCUAUGAAAUAAAGUGCUUAGAGCAUCUCCAGCCGCGCCCCCAACAGCCCCCCCAGGCGACUUUUUCGGCACCGACACCAAAAAAACGGCCCAGUCGCGUCCCCAGGACGACGAAAAGCGCCGGUUCGGCCCUUUUUUCCGUUCGGCGGCCGCAGGCCGAACCCGACACACUUGGGGGCGCUUGGGGGCUCCGGCACAAGGGAAAAUUACGGCUGGCCCACGCGGUUAGGUGAAAAGUCAAGAUUUUCUUCCCCGACCGCCUCCCACCCCCGCGCUCUCGGCCGCAACUAGGUAUAUCCCGGCGCCGCCCCGCCGCCCUUCACCGGUAGAUAGACAUUCCCCGUUGGAAAAAUAGCAUAGGUUCGCCGCGACAGCCCCUCCGACACCAGCUGGGCGUUUCCGGCCGCCGUUUCCGGCCGCGGAGGGUCAGUUUAGUGGCGGGUGCACGCCCACCGCGCGCAAGGUGUUCGGCGAUUUGCCUACCUCAGCGAUGGACUCGGAUGACGAGGAAGUGCUCACCGCGCUGCUGGAGGAGGAAGCCGAGGCCGACGUCCAGGAAGAAGAGUAUCUCAUGGUGCUCGCCGCCCUCGCCCAGCUGCUGGCGAGCAAUGAAAAGCCGCGGCGAGGUGGCUCGGCGCCGGGGCGGGUUAAAGCAAAGAACCGGCAUCGUCUCGAAGGCUACUACAUGCUCUACUCCGACUACUUCGCCGAUGCUCCACUUCACGGCGACAGAACAUUUCGGCGCCAUUAUCGGAUGAGCAGAAAGCUUUUCCUCCGGAUUGUGAAUUCCAUCCGGGAGUUCGACAACUACUUCAAAUGCAAGAUGGAUUGCACCGGCAAACUUGGAUUCACCUCGAUCCAGAAAUGCACGACAGCGAUGAGGAUGCUUGCAUACGGAGCUCCCGGUGACGCACAGGACGACUAUGGGCGCAUGGCCUAGUCCACCAGCAUAGAGUGUUUCUACAAGUUCUGUCGGGCAGUGGUGGCAGUGUUUGGACCGCAAUACUUGAGAACACCCAAUGCGGAAGACACUGCUCGGAUCCUAGCAUAGAAUUCAGCAAGAGGAUUUCCUGGGAUGCUUGGAAGCAUCGACUGCAUGCAUUGGAAAUGGAAGAAUUGCCCAUUUGCUUGGCAGGGGAUGUACAAAGGCACCAAAGGCGGUUGCAGUAUGGUACUUGAGGCGGUGGCCACACAAGACCUCUGGAUUUGGCACUCCUUCUUUGGUAUGCCACGAACUCACAAUGACAUCAACGUGCUGCAGUUCUCUCUUGUCUUUGCCAAGCUUGUUGAAGGUCAUUCUCCUCCAGUGAACUUCGAGAUCAAUGGGCGGCAGUACAACAAGGGGUACUAUCUAGCUGAUGGCAUCUAUCCGAGAUGGUCGACAUUUGUCAAGACCAUCAAAAACACUGUUCCUGGAGGCAAGAAUGCCUGGUUUGCAAAGAUUCAAGAGGCUUGCAGGAAGGAUGUCGUGCGGGCAUUUGGUGUGCUCCAAUCUCGAUUUGCUGUUGUCCGGUACCCCACUCAGACCUGGUCGAAAGAUCAAAUGUGGGAGAUCAUGACCUGCUGUGUCAUCUUGCACAACAUGAUCAUUGAGAGCGAGUAGGAAGAUCCAGUGUUUGACACUGAACCAUACCACCGGCAGGGUCCUCUUACCCAAGUUGAUCACCAGCUACCGUCAACAUGGACUGCCUACCUCAGUAUGCGUCAGGAGAUCCGAGACCCACAGGUGCAUCAUCAACUGCAGCAAGAUCUGAUAGAGCACCUAUGGAGGCUCAAGGGCGACACCGGGCGUGACGUGUGAUGAAAUAUGAGUUUUUAUUUGUUGAACUAUAUAAUUUGUAUUGAACUAUUUGUUGUUGUACUAUUUUGUUGAAGUAUUUGAAAUUUCUGUGAUGAAAUAUGUAAUAAAAAAUAUUUAUUUUGAUAAUUGAACGCUGAGCCACGGCGAACCACGCCGAAUAUGGGCCUAUUCUCGCCCAUAUGGGCCUUUUUCGUCGAAAUGAGGCUUAAAAAACGGGCCAAAAUCGGCGACUGGGGGCGACGACUGGGCGCAAAACCGUCCCCAGCGCCGAAAGAGUCGCUGGCUCGCCCCCAGGGGCGAUUUUUAUGCGCCCUGGGGGGCCGAACGGCUGAAGAUGCUCUUAGUACUGCUACUAACUAAGAACAAAAAAACAUACACAAGUCACUUCACUCUAUCUGUUUGUUCCCUUCCUGUACGAAAACAUCAAAAAUAAAAUAUAAAACGGACCUAAACCUUGUAAAACAACUAGCAAAAUAAAGCUCAACACACAAAGAAAAGGACCCCCGCCCAGCCCACCAUCUCAAGCCUGCCCCGAUCAAAAAAGCAAAGACAAAAAAACAGGCCCACCCAGUUCGUUCCUUAUGUGUGCUGAUUUACAAGAAACAACAGGGCUGCACGGAUCCUAAAGCAACACAAAGAUCUAAGGGUCAACAAAUCGACUUAGACUUCACUAAAAAUCAGUCGACUGAUUUUUAGCAGAGCCGAUUAAUAAUUACUCCCUCUGUAAACAAAUAUAAGAACGUUUAGAUUACUACUUCAGUAAUUUAAACGCUCUCAUAUUUCUUUCCGGAGGGAGUAUUUCUCGUGUCGUCGAUUUCCCCUUUCGAUAUGUGGGUUCACAUUUUCAUUUUUGAGCUGCCCACCUGAAUUUUCAUUUCAAGCCGAAGAAUGGCAAACCGACAGGUUACAGGGUUUCCACCCGUUCAGAGAAGGGAAACAUUUCACGACGGGGCACCGACCGAAGCUUCGGCCGGUCGCGUCCACGCGCGAACGUACCGAAUAACUCACUUAGCGACACAUAGGAUGGGGGCCCCACCCACGUGCCUCUUCUCCCUCCUGUUUCUCUUCUUCCCUUCGCUUGUCUCUCUCUCUCCGCGCUGCCAUGGCCAAGCUUCGCCGGCCGGAGACCUCCCAGGGAGCGCCACCGCCAUGGGAAUCAGCCGAUCCGGCUGCCCUCGGACAGAUCUUCUCGGAUCCGCGCCACCGGAGCUCUGCAUGCCCUCGUCAGACCCGACCACAUUUGAGCUGCAACCCACCACGCACGGAGCUGCAACCGUUGAACCUUUUUCCUCCCGGAACGGCACCGCGGCGAUGAUGGCCAUGGGCAGGCGUGGGAGCUCGGCGGAGCAGCAGCAAGUAGCUAUGAAAAUGGUUGUAGCAAAUUCCAACACCGUUUGUAGCAAAACCAACUAUGGCUGCAGCAAAACGACAUCAUCGCCAUCGCGGGAUUCACAGCUAAGACAAUUAGUUUGAAGCUUUUUUCAAUGUCGGUUGUAGCUUUUGUAACCGCCUGUUGUAGCUUUUCAUUUGUCGUCCAUGGCUUACGGCUCCACGGUUGAAGCUUUUUUCAUCGUCGGAUGAAGCUUUUUCAUCGCCGGUUGUAGCUUUUCUUUGGUCGUUCAUAGUUUUUCGUCAUACGAGUUGAAACUUUUUUCAUAGCCGGUUGAAGCUUUUUUCGUCGUCGGAUGAAGCUUUUUUCAUCGCCGUUGUUGUUGGAAAUAUGCCCUAGAGGCAAUAAUAAAAUGGUUAUUAUUAUAUUUCUUUGUUCAUGAUAAUUGUCUGUUAUUCAUGCUAUAAUUUUAUUAUCCGGAAAUCAUAAUACACUUGUGAAUACAUAAACCACAACAUGUCCCUAGUGAGCCUCUAGUUGACUAGCUUGUUGAUCAACAAAUAGUCAUGGUUUCCUGACUAUGGACAUUGGAUGUCAUUGAUAACGGGAUCACAUCAUUAGGAGAAUGAUGUGAUGGACAAGACCCAAUCCUAAGCAUAGCUCAAAGAUCGUGUAGUUCGUUCAGCUAGAGAUUUUCCAAAUGUUAAGUAUCAUUUCCUUAUACCAUGAGAUUGUGCAACUCCCGGAUACCGUAGGAGUGCUUUGGGUGUACCAAACAUCACAACGUAACUGGGUGACUAUAAAGGUGCACUACGGGUAUCUCCGAAAGUGUCUGUUGGGUUGGCACGAAUCGAGACUGGGAUUUGUCACUUCGUAUGACGGAGAGGUAUCUCUGGGCCCACUCGGUAAUGCAUCAUCAUAAUGAGCUCAAUGUGACCAAGUGUCUGGUCACGGGAUCAUGCAUUACGGUACGAGUAAAGUGACUUGCCGGUAACGAGAUUAAACGAGGUAUUGGGAUACCGACGAUCGAGUCUCGGGCAAGUAACGUACCGAUUGACAAAGGGAAUUGAAUACAAGGUUGAUUGAAUCGUCGACAUCGUGGUUCAUCCAAUGAGAUCAUUGAGGAGCAUGUGGGAGCCAACAUGGGUAUGCAGAUCCCGUUGUUGGUUAUUGACCGGAGAGGCGUCUCAGUCAUGUCUGCAUGUCUCCCGAACCCAUAGGGUCUACACACUUAAGGUUCCAUGACGCUAGGGUUGUAGAGAUAUGAGUAUGCAGUAAAGUGAAAGUUGUUCGGAGUCCUGGAUGAGAUCCCGGAUGUCACGAGGAGUUCCGGAAUGGUCCGGAGGUAAAGAAUUGUAUAUAGGAAGUCAGGUUUCGGCCAUCAAGAAAGUUUCAGGAUACCGGGACCACCGGAAGGGUCAGGAGGGGGGGGUCCACCGGGUGGGGCCACCUAUCCCGGAGGGCCCCAUGGGCUCAAGUGGGAGGGGAACCAGCCCCUGGUGGGCUGCUGCGCCCCCCUUGGCCCCCCUGCGCCUAGGGUUGGGAAACCCUAGGGGUGGGGGCGCCUCCACCUGGCUUGGGGGGCAAGCCACCCCCCUGGCCGCCGCCCCCUUGGAGAUCCCAUCUCCUAGGGACGGCGCCCCCCUAGGGGCCCUAUAUAAAGAGGGGGGGGGGAGGGAGGGCAGCCGCACCCAUGCUCUUGGAGCCUCCCUCUUCCCUUGCUACACCUCUCCCUCUGGCAGACGCUUGGCGAAGCCCUGCCGAGAUCGCUGCUGCAUCCACCACCACGCCGUCGUGCUGCUGGAUCUUCAUCAACCUCUCCUUCCCCCUUGCUUGAUCAAGAAGGAGGAGACGUCUCCCUGACCAUACGUGUGUUGAAUGCGGAGGUGCCGUCCGUUCGGUGCUAGGAUCUCCGGUGAUUUGGAUCACGACGAGUACGACUCCUUAAACCCCGUUCCCUUGAACGCUUCCGCUCGAUCUACAAGUGUAUGUAGGUGCAGUCCUCUCUCUCAUUGCUAUAUGAACUCAUAGAUUGAUCUUGGUGAAACCGUAGGAAAAUUUUUAUUUUCUGCAACGUUCCCCAACAGUGGCAUCAUGAGCUAGGUCUAUGCAUAGUUCUCUUUGCACGAGUAGAACACAAAUCUGUUGUAGGCGUAGAUGUUGUCAACUUUCUUGCCACUACUAGUCUUAUUUUGCUUCAGCGGUAUUGUGGGAUGAAGCGGCCCGGACCGACCUUACACGUACGCUUACGUGAGACAGGUUCCACCGACUGACAUGCACUAGUUGCAUAAGGUGGCUAGCGGGUGUCUGUCUCUCCCACUUUAGUUGGAGCGGAUUCGAUGAAAAGGGUCCUUAUGAAGGGUAAAUAGAAGAUGACAAAUCACAUUGUGGCUUUUACAUAGGUAAGAAAACGUUCUUGCUAGAACCCUAUUGCAGCCACGUAAAACUUGCAACAACAAUUAGAGGACGUCUAACUUGUUUUUGCAGCAUAUGAUUUGUGAUGUGAUAUGGCCAAAAUUUGUGAUGAAUGAUGAAUGAUAUAUAUGUGAUGUAUGAGAUCAUGUUCUUGUAAUAGGAAUCACGACUUGCAUGUCGAUGAGUAUGACAACCGGCAGGAGCCAUAGGAGUUGUCUUAAUUAUUGUAUGACCUACGUGUCAUUGAUUUAAACACCAUGUAAUUACUUUACCUUAUUGCUAAACCAUUAGCCAUAGUAGUAGAAGUAAUAGUUGGCGAGCAACUUCAUGGAGACACGAUGAUGGAGAUCAUGAUGACGAAGAUCAUGGUGUCAUGCCGGUGACAAAGAUGAUCAUGGAGCCCCAAAGAUGGAGACCAAAGGAGCUAUAUGAUAUUGGCCAUAUCAUGUCACUAUUUAAUUGCAUGUGAUGUUUAUUAUGUUUAUGCAUCUUGUUUACUUAGAACGACGGUAGUAAAUAAUAUGAUCCCUCAUAAUAAUUUCAAGAAAGUGUUCCCCCUAACUGUGCACCGUUGCGAAAGUUUGUCGUUUCAAAGCACCACAUGAUGAUCAGGUGUGAUAGAUUCUAACGUUCACAUACAACGGGUGUAAGAUAGAUUUACACAUGCAAAACACUUAGGUUAACUUGACGAGCCUAGCAUGUACAGACAUGGCCUCGGAACACAAGAGACUGAAAGGUCGAACAUGAGUCGUAUGGAAGAUACGAUCAACAUGGAGAUGUUCACCGAUGAUGACUAGUCCGUCUCACGUGAUGAUCAGACACGACCUAGUCGACUCGGAUCAUGUAUCACUUAGAUGACUAGAGGGAUGUCUGAUCUGAGUGGGAGUUCAUUAAAUAAUUUGAUUAGAUGAACUUAAUUAUCAUGAACUUAGUCUAAAAACAUUUGCAAAUAUGUCUUGUAGAUCAAAUGGCCAGCGCUCAUGUCCACCUCAACUUCAACGCGUUCCUAGAGAAAACCAAGCUGAAAGAUGAUGGCAGCAACUAUACGGACUGCGUCCGGAACCUGAGGAUCAUCCUCAUAGCUGCAAAGAAAGAUUAUGUCUUAGAAGCACCGCUAGGUGAAGCUCCCAUCCCAAAGAACCAAGACGUCAUGAACACUUGGAAGUCUCGUGCUGAUGAUUACUCCCUCGUUCAGUGCGGCAUGCUUUACAGCUUAGAACCGGGGCUCCAAAAGCGUUUUGAGCAACACAGAGCAUAUGAGAUGUUCGAAGAGCUGAAAAUGGUUUUCCAAGCUCAUGCUCGGGUCGAGAGAUAUGAAGUCUCCGACAAGUUCUUCAGCUGUAAGAUGGAGGAAAAUAGUUCUGUCAGUGAGCACAUACUCAAAAUGUCUGGGUUGCACAACGGCUUGACUCAGCUGGGAGUUAAUCUCCCGGAUAACGCGGUUAUUGACAGAAUUCUUCAGUCGCUUCCACCGAGCUACAAGAGCUUUGUGAUGAACUUCAAUAUGCAGGGGAUGGAAAAGACCAUUCCUGAAGUAUAUUCAAUGUUGAAAUCAGCAGAGGUAGAGAUCAAAAAGGAACAUCAAGUGUUGAUGGUGAAUAAAACCACUAAGUUCAAGAAAGGCAAGGGUAAGAAGAACUUCAAGAAUGACGGCAAGGAAGUUGCCGCGCCCGGUAAGCCAGCUACUGGGAAGAAGACAAAGAAUGGACCCAAGUCUGAGACUGAGUGCUUUUAUUGCAAAGGGAAGGGUCACUGGAAGCGGAACUGCCCCAAAUACUUAGCGGACAAGAAGGCCGGCAACACUAAAGGUAUAUGUGAUAUACAUGUAAUUGAUAUGUACCUUACCAGUGCUCGUAGUAGCUCCUGGGUAUUUGAUACCGGUGCCGUUGCUCAUAUUUGUAACUCAAAACAGGAGCUGCGGAAUAAGCGGAGACUGGCGAAGGACGAGGUGAUGAUGCGCGUCGGGAAUGGUUCCAGAGUCGAUGUGAUCGCCGUCGGCACGCUACCUCUACAUUUACCUAUGGGAUUAGUUUUAAACCUCAAUAAUUUUUAUUUAGUGCCAGCUUUGAGCAUGAACAUUGUAUCUGGAUCUCGUUUAAUACGAUAUGGCUACUCAUUUAAAUCCAAGAAUAAUGGUUGUUCUAUUUAUAUGAGAGAUAUGUUUUAUGGUCAUGCCCCGAUGGUCAAUGGUUUAUUCUUAAUGAAUCUCGAACGUGAUGUUACACAUAUUCAUAAUGUGAAUACCAAAAGAUGUAAAGUUGAUAACGAAAGUCCCACAUACUUGUGGCACUACCGCCUUGGUCACAUUCGUGUCAAGCGCAUGAAGAAGCUCCAUGCUGAUGGACUUUUAGAGUCUCUCAAUUAUGAAUCAUUUGACACAUUCGAACCAUGCCUCAUGGGCAAAAUGACCAAGACUCCGUUCUCCGGAACAAUGGAGCGAGCAACCAACUUAUUGGAAAUCAUACAUACUGAUGUGUGCGGUCCAAUGAGCGUUGAGGCUCGCGGAGGAUAUCGCUAUGUUCUCACUCUCACUGAUGACUUAAGUAGAUAUGGGUAUGUCUACCUAAUGAAACACAAGUCUGAGACCUUUGAAAAGUUCAAGGAAUUUCAGAAUGAGGUAGAGAAUCAACGUGACCGAAAGAUAAAGUUCUUACGAUCAGAUCGUGGAGGAGAAUAUUAAAGUCACGAAUUUGGUACGCACUUAAGGAAAUGUGGAAUCGUUUUACAACUCACGCCGCCUGGAACACCUCAGCGUAAUGGUGUGUCCGAACGUCGUAAUCGCACUUUAUUGGAUAUGGUGCGAUCUAUGAUGCCUCUUACCGAUUUACCGCUAUCUUUUUGGGGAUACGCUCUAGAGAUAGCUACCUUCACUUUAAAUAGGGCACCGUCUAAAUCCGUUGAGACGACACCGUAUGAAUUAUGGUUUGGGAAGAAACCUAAGCUGUCAUUUCUAAAAGUUUGGGGAUGCGAUGCUUAUGUCAAGAAACUUCAACCUGAAAAGCUCGAACCCAAGUCGGAAAAGUGCAUCUUCAUAGGAUACCCUAAGGAAACCAUUGGGUAUACCUUCUACCUUAGAUCCGAAGGCAAGAUCUUUUUUGCCUAGAACGGGUCCUUUCUGGAGAAAGAGUUUCUCUCGAGAGAAGUAAGUGGGAGGAAUGUGGAACUUGAUGAAGUACUACCUCUUGAACCGGUAAGUAACGCAGCUCAGGAAGAAGUUCCUGUGGUGCCUACACCGACUGGAGAGGAAAUUAAUGACGAUGAUCAAGGUACUUCGGAUCAAGUCGCUACUAAACUUCAUAGGUCCACAAGGACACGUUCCACACCAGAGUGGUAUGGUAACCCUGUCCUGGUAAUCAUGUUGUUAGACAACGGUGAACCUUCGAACUAUGAAGAAGCGAUGGCGGGCCCAGAUUCCAGCAAAUGGCUUGAAGCCAUACAAUCCGACAUAGAAUCCAUGUAUGAAAACAAAGUAUGGACUUUGACAGACUUGCCCGAUGAUCGGCGAGCGAUAGAAAACAAAUGGAUCUUUAAGAAGAAGACGGACGCGGAUGGUAAUGUUACCAUCUAUAAAGCUCGACUUGUCGCUAAGGGUUAUCGACAAGUUCAAGGGGUUGACUACGAUGAGACUUUCUCUCCCGUAGCGAAGCUGAAGUCCGUCCGAAUCAUGUUCGCAAUUGCCGCAUACUAUGAUUAUGAGAUAUGGCAGAUGGGCAUCAAAAUGGCAUUCCUUAACGGUUAUCUUAAGGAAGAACUGUAUAUGAUGCAGCCAGGAGGUUUUGUUGAUCCUAAGAAUGCUAACAAGGUAUGCAAGCUCCAGCGAUCCAUUUAUGGGCUGGUGCAAGCAUCUCGGAGUUGGAACAUUCGCUUUGAUGAGAUGAUCAAAGCGUUUGGGUUUAUGCAGACUUAUGGAGAAGCCUACGUUUACAAGAAAGUGAGUGGGAGCUCUGUAGCAUUUCUCAUAUUAUAUGUAGAUGACAUACUUCUGAUGGGAAAUGAUAUAGAACUUUUGGACAUCAAUAAGGCCUACUUGAAUAAGUGUGUUUCAAUGAAGGACCUUGGAGAAGCUGCUUACAUAUUAGGCAUCAAGAUCUAUAGGGAUAGAUCAAGACGCCUCAUAGGUCUUUCACAAAACACAUACCUUGAUAAGAUAUUGAAGAAGUUCAAUAUGGAUCAGUCCAAGAAAGGGUUCUUGCCUGUAUUGCAAGGUGUGAGAUUGAGCUUGGCUCAAUGCCCGACCACGACAGAAGAUAAAGAAGAGAUGAGUGGCAUCCCCUAUGCCUCAACCAUAGGAUCUAUUAUGUAUGCCAUGCUGUGUACCAGACCGGAUGUAAACCUUGCCGUAAGUUUGGUAGGAAGGUACCAAAGUAAUCCCAGCAAGGAACACUGGACAGCGGUCAAGCAUAUCUUGAAGUACCUGAAAAGGACAAAGGACAUGUUUCUCGUUUAUGGAGGUGACGAAGAGCUCGUCGUAAAGGGUUACGUCGAUGCUAGCUUUGACACAGAUCUGGAUGACUCUAAGUCACAAACCGGAUACGUGUAUAUUUUGAAUGGUGGGGCAGUAAGCUGGUGCAGUUGCAAGCAAAGCGUCGUGGCGGGAUCUACAUGUGAAGCGGAGUACAUGGCAGCCUCGGAGGCAGCGCAUGAAGCAAUAUGGGUGAAGGAGUUCAUCACCGACCUAGGAGUCAUACCCAAUGCGUCGGGGCCGAUCAAACUCUUCUGUGACAACACUGGAGCUAUUGCACUUGCCAAGGAGCCCAGGUUUCACAAGAAGACCAGGCACAUCAAGCGUCGCUUCAACUCCAUUCGUGAAAACGUUCAAGAUGGAGACAUAGAUAUUUGCAAAGUACAUACGGACCUGAAUGUGGCAGAUCCGUUGACUAAACCUCUCCCUAGGGCAAAACAUGAUCAACACCAGAAUUCCAUGGGUGUUCGAUUCAUCACAAUGUAACAAGAUUAUUGAACUCUAGUGCAAGUGGGAGACUGUUGGAAAUAUGCCCUAGAGGCAAUAAUAAAAUGGUUAUUAUUAUAUUUCUUUGUUCAUGAUAAUUGUCUGUUAUUCAUGCUAUAAUUGUAUUAUCCGGAAACCAUAAUACACGUGUGAAUACAUAGACCACAACAUGUCCCUAUUGAGCCUCUAGUUGACUAGCUCGUUGAUCAACAGAUAGUCAUGGUUUCCUGACUAUGGACAUUGGAUGUCAUUGAUAACGGGAUCACAUCAUUAGGAGAAUGAUGUGAUGGACAAGAUCCAAUCCUAAGCAUAGCUCAAUGAUCGUGUAGUUCGUUUAGCUAGAGCUUUUCCAAAUGUCAAGUAUCAUUUCCUUAGACCAUGAGAUUGUGCAACUCCCGGAUACCGUAGGAGUGCUUUGGGUGUACCAAACGUCACAAUGUAACUGGGUGACUAUAAAGGUGCACUACGGGUAUCUUCGAAAGUGUCUGUUGGGUUGGCACGAAUCGAGACUGGGAUUUAUCACUUCAUAUGACGGAGAGGUAUCUCUGGGCCCACUCGGUUAUGCAUCAUCAUAAUGAGCUCAAUGUGACCAAGUGUCUGGUCAUGGGAUCAUGCAUUACGGUAUGAGUAAAGUGACUUACCGGUAACGAGAUUAAACGAGGUAUUGGGAUACCGACGAUCGAGUCUCGGGCAAGUAACGUACUGAUUGACAAAGGGAAUUGAAUACAGGGUUGAUUGAAUCCUCGACAUCGUGGUUCAUCUGAUGAGAUCAUCGAGGAUCAUGUGGGAGCCAACAUGGGUAUCCAGAUCCCUCUGUUGGUUAUUGACCGGAGAGGCGUCUCGGUCAUGUCUGCAUGUCUCCCGAACCCGUAGGGUCUACACACUUAAGGUUCGUGACGCUAGGGUUGUAGAGAUAUGAGUAUGCAGUAAACCGAAAGUCGUUCGGAGUCUCGGAUAAGAUCCCGGACGUCACGAGGAGUUCCGGAAUGGUCCGGAGGUAAAGAAUUAUAUAUAGGAAGUCAGGUUUCGGCCAUCGGAAAAGUUUCGGGGAUCACCCCUAUUGUACCGAGACCACCGGAAGGGUCCCGGGGGGGUCCACCGGGUGGGGCCACCUAUCCCGGAGGGCCCCAUGGGCUGAAGUGGGAGGGGAACCAGCCUCUGGUGGGCUGGUGCGCCCCCCCUUGGGCCCCCCUGUGCGUAGGGUUGGGAAACCAUAGGGGUGGGGGCGCCUCCACCUGGCUUGGGGGCAAGCCACCCCCCUGGCCGCUGCCCCUCCUUGGAGAUCCCAUCUCCUAGGGCCGGCGCCCCCCUAGGGGCCCUAUAUAAAGAGGGGUGGAGGGAGGGCAGCCGCACCCAUGCUCUUGGCGCCUCCCUCUCGCCUUGCUACACAUCUCCCUCUCACAGACGCUUGGCGAAGCCCUGCUGAGAUCGCUGCUGCAUCCACCACCACGCCGUCGUGCUGCUGGAUCUUCAUCAACCUCUCCUUCCCCCUUGCUUGAUCAAGAAGGAGGAGACGUCUCCCUGACCAUACGUGUGUUGAAUGCGGAGGUGCCGUCCGUUCGGUGCUAGGAUCUCCGGUGAUUUGGAUCACGACGAGUACGAUUCCUUCAACCCCGUUCCCUUGAACGCUUCCGCUCGAUCUACAAGGGUAUGUAGAUGCACUCCUCUCUCUCAUUGCUAGAUGAACUCAUAGAUUGAUCUUGGUGAAACCGUAGGAAAUUUUUUAUUUUCUGCAACGUUCCCCAACAGUUGUAGCUUUUCUUUGGUCGUUCAUAGUUUUCCGUCGUACGAGUUGAAAUUUUUUUCAUAGCCAGUUGAAGCUUUUUUCGUUAGCGAUUGUAGCUUUUUCCAUCGUCGGUUGCAGCACUGGACAUCUCCCAUGGCGCUCAAUUUUUUUGUUGCAACCUGGAUAUGAGCACGUGGCGAGCACACCGGUUAGCACGUCGGUGAGCUCCGGUCGUCGCCACCCGAGCUACAACGGUGGCCAUGGAAGCUACAACCGCAUGGUUGGGCUGUUGCAUGGGGCGAAGCCGGUGACGCGGAUGGCUGCCAAGGACUGGGACCGGCGACUAGGGCGGCUGGGAAAGACGGCCGGCGAGGACGAUGACCAGUGACUAGGAGGGCAGGAGAGGGAGGGGCAGCGACAAGGAGGGACGCAUGCGGCCGGCAAGACGGGGUUCACGAGAGGAAGACGACGCUCGUACGUGCUCGCGAGAGUAAGACGAUCACCUGGUUGGAUAAGGAUCCAACGGUUCAGGACGGGCUAAUCUGACGGCUAGGGUGCGACCGGCCAAAACGUUCAGCCGGCGCACCGGCGCCUAGCAUCGCCCUUCAGAGAAACAGGGGUCGAUGUUGCGCACUACUGCAGACAGGGUAAGGCAUUGGUCACGAAAAAUCAUGGCACGCCGGGAAGCCUACCGAGCGUACGUGCGCGCUGCCUAUGACUGUGAGCAAUGAUACUGGGUUUUUUGCGUGGGUCUUGGCUAGGCCCGGCCUGGCCUGAGGUAUGGCCAAGUAUAGGUAUAAUGCUACACCUAGGUGCAUACAGAUACUAAAGUUGGUUGACGAUGUGACUUUCCCUCUCUCUAGGGUUUCUACCUUCUCUCACUGCCAUUGGCGACGUUGAGUAACUUUUGUCCUUCACCGCCGCCCGUCUGACCUCUUCUGCUCAGGCUGACCAUGGGGCAGUCUGAUACUGCUUCCCGGCCUUGGUGGGAGGAUAGACGUGGCGGGUGGUGUUAGGGUUUUGGUGGUGGGUUUCGGCGGAGCCGAAGCAGUGCGAUCGGUUUCGCUCUUCCUAAGAGGGCGGAGCAAGGAACAAUGGCAUCGACCAGCAGCAAGGGGAAGGGAAAGCUCGAGGAUCUGAUGGAGGAACUCGCCCUAAAAUAAGAUGACCUAGAUGAUGUCGUUUUCGAGGAGGAUGAUGCGCCACCGGCGGAGGAUCUUCGGUGGAUGAUCUUGGUUCGUGUCCACAUCGACAAAGACUUCAGCAAUUACUGGUUUUUUCGCAACAUGCGAUCAGCUUGGGAUCUCGCAAGAAGGGUCAAGAUAAAAACCCUAGAGGAGAACUUGUUCAUUAUGCAGUUUGAGUGCCUUGGAUAUUGGGAAAGAGUGGCACAAGGGGGGCCAUGGCACUUUUGGGGUCACCCCAUGAUCAUCGUGCCCUAUGAUGGUUAUUCCAAGCCCUCAUCGAUUGAGUUGUUCACGUUCGAGAUCUGGGCAAGAAUUCUUGAUCUACCAAUCGCUUAUCACGGAAAGGUAAAAGCCUUGGCAGCAAAGAUUAGCGAGUUUGUGGAGUCUGAGCCCUCAUCCUUUGACUUUGAAGGCAAUUUCUAUAGAGUGAGAGUUCGCCUAGAUGUUCAAAAGCAGCCGAAGAAAGCGACUUCUAUAGUCCACAAUGGCCAGCGAGAAAUUUUUGCUGUAAAAUACGAGCGUCUCCCAGAUUGGUGCCAGGUGUGUGGCAUGAUGGGCCACGAAUUCAAGGAACAUGGAGAUGGUGUUCACCCUCCCUCUGCACUUGUGUUUAAGAACCUCAGAGCACCUGUGGCUACGGCAUGGGGCACAAAAUGUCGCAAUAACGGGCAAAGGAAUAGGGGAAAGAACGGAGGAGGCAUCUUAGGACAGAAUAUGCAAGAAGAGGAGAAGGAAUGUGAUGACACUGACAUGGAUGAAAACGACGCAAGUCGCAAGAGGACUUCUGAAGAAGUAGUGGGUGCAAUCGCUCCUGCAGUGGCUAGCACAACUCUGGACAUUGUUCCCGUAGGGACGAACAAUGGGGGUGCUCAGAAUCUACCCAUUAGCCCACCUCCAAAGCAGGAACCUAAGCAUUUGAGACUAUCGCAGCAGACAGAGAAGGGGCAGAACAUGGGUGGAAGGAAGAACACAGUGGCUAUGAAGAUUCUUGAUGCUAAAUCGGCGGCCUCCCCGGUGGAGGACCGCUGGGCACAAUGAGUUUCCUUGGCUGGAACUGCCGGGGACUAGGCAACGCCCCGACAGUUCAAGAGCUACGAGAAAUCGUUAUAAAGUUUGCCCCUAGAGUACUUUGCAUCAUUGAAACACAGAUUGGUCAAGAUAGAGCUGAAAAUUUAUCACGUACUCUAGGUUUUGAUUCUUCUUUUGCAGUUGGUUCCACCGGUAGGAGUGGUGGUUUAGCUUUGUAUUGGAAUAAUGAAAUAAAGCUUGAGAUUUUGGGUUAUUCGCAGUACCAUGUUGAUGCAAAGAUUUCUGACAUGGGACGGGACCCUUGGAGGCUCUCGUGUUUUUAUGGAGAGGCGCAAACACAUCUCCGGUAUAGAACGUGGGACAUAAUGAAAAACCUAGUAGCACUCCAAAACUUGCCGCGGUUGUGCAUUGGGGAUUUCAACGAGGUUCUACGCUAUGAUGAGCACGAAGGAAUUGGUCAGAGAAGUCAAACUCAGAUCCAAGGUUUUCGAGAUGCGGUUGAUGUGUGUGGAUUGAUUGACCUCGGCUUCCAGGGCCGUAAGUGGACGUUCGAAAAGAAGGUGACGGGUGGAUCAUAUACAAGAGUAAGACUUGAUAGGGCUUUGGGCUCGCCCGAGUGGUGCGCUCGGUUUCCGCUAGCAGUGGUUGAUCAUCUUACAGUAGCUACCUCUGACCACUCUCCUAUAAACCUGAUGUUGUUUCCACCGGACAGAGGGAAGAAAGGAGAAAAGCAAUUUAGGUAUGAGUGCAUGUGGGACACGCAUCCGGAGCUAAUCCCCACGGUCCAGCGUGCAUGGGAGUUGAACGGCCCCAAUCUUACGGCGGCAGAAGUCCGAGCUAACCUACAAUCCUUGUCUAAUAACUUGGGCGAGUGGAGCAAGUCAACUUUUGGGAGUGUUAAAUCACAAAUAAGAAGGCUGAAAAGAGAUCUGGAGCGUCUGAGGAGUGACCCAGCAAUGACUGCUCCGGGCCAUGUUGAGAUCAAAAUAAAUGAUAGAUUGAUUGAGCUAUAUCUUCAGGAAGAAAUAAUGUGGCGCCAGAGAUCACGAGUAGCAUGGCUUUCAGAGGGGGAUAGGAAUACACACUUUUUCCAUUUCAGAGCUUCAAGUAGAUGGCGCAAGAACUUAAUAAAGUCUUUACAGAAGCAAGAUGGGCAACUCACGGAUGAUUUGACAGAGAUGCAGCAGAUGGCACUUGACUUUUAUAAAGCCCUAUACACUUCAGAGGGGGUUGAAGGUUUUUUUUUGACUAUGUACUGCAAGGAAACAGCCGCACAGUCCUUUAUUAAUUAAAAGAAGAUAAGUUACAACUUUAUAAAUGUACAAAGAAAGCGAAAAGAUACUUACAAAAGAAAGACUAAGUAAGGUUAGCUAUCCAAGCUAGAAAACUAUCUUUAAAUUUAGAUCUAAUCCUGUGAGACAGAAGAGAGAUGUCAUGUAUAAAGUUUCUUCUCCAAGCUCUAAAUGAAGGUUGUUCAUUUCUGAAGAUUUUCUCAUUCCUUUGUAUCCAAAUAUUCCAAGUAGCAGUGAAAACAACCUCAGAGAAGAAAGGGUGACCAAAAUCCUUCCUAGCUGCUUGUGCCAUAUCAUAUGUGGUUUGGUUCGGUUGAAAAGUCCAAGAAAUCCCAAGAUAGUUCCAAACCCUUUGGCUAAAAUUGCAAGCAAAGAAAAGGUGAGCUCGAUCCUCAUGUUGUGCAAGAUUGCAUAGAACACAAGUAUCAUCCUGGAUGAUCCAUUGCCUAUGUUGCAUCAUAUCCCUGGUGUUCAAACGAUCCAUUAGCAGGAGCCAACCAAAAACUUUGAUCUUUAGCGUGCAUGCACACUUCCAAAUCCACUUGAGUAUGGGAUCCACCACCAGGUGUGAGAAGCAAGAAUCAUAGUAUAUCUUUGCCAUAUAGGCGCCAGACUUUGAAGGCCACAUCCAAGUGUCCUUACUCUCACCAUUCAAAUUGAUCAAAGGUAGAAGGGACUGUAAUUGUGUGAAUUCUGAGAAGGCCUCCUGUGAUAGUGGUAAAUGGAAAUGAUCCAAGAUAUCAGGCCGCUCAAUAAAGUCUUUAACUGUGAUUGCAUCAUCCACAACAAAAGAAUGGAGCCUCGGAAAACAGUCGUGUAACAAGACAACAUGAUUUCCCAGCUGCCAACGGUCGAGCCAAAAGAGUAUCGUGUCACCAGCAUGAACUUGUGGAACCGCCAGAUUGCAAAAUUUUGGGUAUAAACGCAUGGUAUCACGCCACCAAAAUGAACCACAGACCUUGGUGCUUUGGGGUGGUGACGAUGCGUAAUAGGUGUCCCAGAUUAAAGAUACCCAAGGCAUGUCCACUUUAUUGAAAAACUUGAAGAGAUGCUUAAGUAGCAAAGCCUCAUUUUGGGUGGCCAAAUUAAGAACACCCAAACCUCCAAAGCACUUAGGGCGACAGACUAAAUCCCAAGCAGCCAGAGAUUGUCGUGGGUUAUCGGUGUUACCUCUCCACAAGCACUGCCUCAUGAUCCGCUCCAACUGUUGUAUAAUGCCCUUUAGGAGAUAUAAAGUGCACAAAAAAUAUAUAGGCAUGGAGCACAACACCGACUGAAGAAGUUGCAGUCGGCUCCCUUGGUUUAGUAAGCAUGAAGAGGCAGAUAAAUGGCGCUCAAUACGAUCCACCAGAGGCAUCAGAUCAUAGAUGGUCGGCCUAGAAGUUCCCAUUGGCAAACCAAGAUACGUGAAAGGCAUCGUGCCAACGUCGCAUCCCAACAAAGAGGCCACUCUGACACCUUCCUCAUCAUACAUGUUUAUACGAAUGAGUGAAGACUUACUAAAAUUAACUCGCAAACCAGUUGACUCAGCAAAAGUGACAAGCAUCUCCUUGAAAGCAACAAGCUGUUCAUCAAUGGCAGGCAGCACAAUUAAUGUGUCGUCGGCAUAUUGCACUAUUGGGUAAUCAUUGGAGUUUGUUGGGAUUGGCAGAGAAAGGAUAUUCCUGGAGCACAUCUCAUUGACUACAGAUUGUAAUAAAUCUACUGUAAUCACAAAUACAAUGGUGAUAGGGGGUCUCCUUGACGCACUCCAGUUCUGCAGACAAAAUGUUUCCCUGGCACACCGUUAAGAAGCACAGAAGAGGAUUCCGUUGACAAAAUACUAUUGAUCCAACCAGUCCACCUGGAAUCAAAUCCCUUGCAUUGCAAAAUUUUGAGAAUUAGAUCAUGCUCAAUUGUAUCAAAGGCCUUCGUAAAAUCCAUCUUGAGGAGGACAAUGGGGCGCUUGGAGGCCUUGCAUUGGUGUAUAUACUCGAAACACCAGGCUAAGCAAUCUUGGAUAGAACGACACCGAAGAAAACCAUAUUCAUUGCGGUGGAUGCAUCACAGAAUCACAUUCUGGAGCCGGUUAGCAAGCAGCUUUGUCAAAAAUUUCAAGCACGUGUUGGUCAAUGAGAUUGGCCUAAAAUCUCCGACAACUUCAGGACUUAGCUUCUUAGGUAUCAGAGUAAUUAAUGAGGUAUUAAGACAUUCUAAGUUGCACCUCCCCUCAUAAAACUCCUUGACAAGUUGCAUGAAAUCCUCCUUUAGAAUUAGCCGACACCUCUUUAAGAACAGACCAGAAAAGCCAUCGGGACUAGGGGCACGGUCUGGUGGCAUGUUCUUAAUGACAACAUCAACCUCAGAAUCAGUGAAAGGCUGGGACAGAUCUUCAAGGCCAUCAACUCUUGCAAUUAAUGUGUCCAAAUCAAAACCCAUGCGAAUUCCUUUUGCAUUGCCCAUUCUUUGAUUAAAAUCCGACCAAAACAUGCUCGCAAGUUGUUGGUGAUCCGAGACCACAUCACCAUCAGAAUUCUUGAGAGAAGAAAUUGUGUUUCUCCUAUACCUUUCCGUGGCCAUGGCAUGGAAAAACUUCGAGUUUUCCUCUCCAACUUUAAUGCUGCAUAUAGUACAACGCUGCUUCCAAUAUACAUACUGCGAAUGUAAAAUAUCUUCCAAAUGCAAUUUCACAAUUCGCCUGAAUAUAAACUCAGGCCUUGACAAAGGCCUAAUCUCCUCCAGCCCAUCAAAGAAUAGGAUCACCUUGUUGCAAUCAGAAAUUAAUGCUGUAAGUGUGGACAAAUUCAUGUGCCAUUUCUUGAGUGCAUACCUUAGCGCUUUGAAUUUCGAGGAAAUAUUUAGGGUAGCCGAUUGUCUGGCCACUGAUUUGCUCCAAACUUGUGCUACAAGGUCAUAAAAUCCAGGCAAAUCAAUCCAAUAAUUUUCAAAGCGAAAGAUUUUAGCCUUAGGAAUCGCAGUAGCAAUCGAGACGAUGCAUGAAACAUGAUCAGAGGCUGUUCGUGCAAGUGGCAGAACUAGCGUGUUAGGAUGAUCCGUGGUUGAUACGUCUCCAACGUAUCUAUAAUUUUUGAUUGCUCCAUGCUACUUUAUCUACUGUUUUAGGCCAUAUUGGGCUUUAUUAUCCACUUUUAUAUUAUUUUUGGGACUAACCUAUUAACCGGAGGCCCAGCCCAGAAUUGCUGUUUUAUGCCUAUUUCAGUGUUUCGGGGAAAAGGAAUAUCAGACGGAGUCAAAACGGAACGAAAUCAACUGGAGAAGUUAAUUUUGGAAGGAAACCUACCGGAUGGACUUGGACCCCAUGUCAGGAGCCAAGGGAGGUGCUCACGAGGGUGGGGGGCGCCGCCCUGGGCGCGCCCCUGCCUCGUGGGACCCCCAUAGCUCCACCGACGUACUUCCUGCACCCAUAUAUACCUACGUACCCAAAAACUUCCAGAACAGAACCUAGAUCGGGAGUUCCGCCGCCGCAAGCCUCUGUAGCCACCAAAAACCAAUCAAGACCCUGUUCCGGCACCCUGCCGGAGGGGGAUCCCAUCACCGGAGGCCAUCUUCAUCAUCCCGGUGCUAUCCAUGAUGAGAAGGGAGUAGUUCACCCUCGGGGCUGAGGGUAUGUACCAGUAGCUAUGUGUUUGAUCUCUCUCUCUCUCUCUCUCUCUCUCUCGUGUUCUCUCUCGUGUUCCUCUAUGGCACGAUCUUGAUGUAUCCCGAGCUUUGCUAUUGUAGUUGGAUCUUAUGAUGUUUCUCCCCCUCUACUCUCUUGUGAUGAAUUGAGUUUCCCCUUUUGAAGUUAUCCUGUUGGAUUGAGUCUUUUAUGAGAACACUUGAUGUAUGUCUUGCCGUGAUUAUCUGUGGUGACAAUGGGAUAUCAUGUGCCACUUGAUGUAUGUUUUGGUGAUCAACUUGCGGGUUCCGCCCAUGAACCUAUGCAUAGGGGUUGGCACACGUUCUUGACUCUCCGGUAGUAGCUUUGGGGCACUCUUUGAAGUACUUUUAUGUUGGUUGGAUGAAUCUGAGAUUAUGUGACGCAUAUCGUAUAAUCAUGCCCAAGGAUACUUGAGGUGACAAUGGAGUAUCUAGGUGACAUUAGGGUUUUGGUUGAUUUGUGUGUUAAGGUGUUAUUCUAGUAUGAACUCUAUGAUGGAUUGAGCGGAAAGAAUAGCUUUAUGUUAUUUUACUACGAACUCUUGAAUAGAUAGAACAGAAACGAUAACUUUGAGGUGGUUUCAUACCCUACCAUAAUCUCUAAGUUUUUUCUCUGCUAUUAGUGUCUUUGGAGUGACUCUUUGUUGCAUGUUGAGGGCUUGUUAUUUGAUCUAUCUAUGUUAUUAUUGUUGAGAGAACUUGCACUAGUGAAAGUAUGAACCCUAGGCCUUGUUUCCUAUCAUUGCAAUACCGUUUACGCUCACUUUUAUCACUCGCUACCUUGCUGUUUUUAUAAUUUCAGAUUACAAUUACCUUUAUCUACUAUCUAUUUUGCACUUGUAUCUUCAUCUCUUCGCCGAACUAGUGCACCUAUACAAUUUACCAUUGUAUUGGGUGUGUUGGGGACACAAGAGACUCUUUGUUAUUUGGUUGCAGGGUUGUUUGAGAGAGACCAUCUUCAUCCUACGCCUCCUACGGAUUGAUAAACCUUAGGUCAUCCACUUGAGGGAAAUUUGCUACUGUCCUACAAACCUGUGCACUUGCAGGCCCAACAACGUCUACAAGAAGAAGGUUGUGUAGUAGACAUCAAGCAGUUUCUGGCGCUGUUGCCGGGGAGGUGAGUGCUUGAAGGUAUAUCUUUAGAUCUUGCAAUCGAAUCUUUUUGUUUCUUGUUUUAGCACUAGUCUAGUUUAUAAAAGAAAAUUACAAAAAAAUGGAGUUAAGUUGGCCGCAUACGCUUCACCUUUUUAAUAUCUUUCGUGAGUAUGAUGGAAAAGAAAAUUGUGCUCAAGUGCUAGAAGAAGAAUUACAUAGAAUUCUUGGCAUAAAAUAUGUGAAUGAUGAGCAUGAUUGCAAUGUCGUUAGUACGAAUUCUUUGAAUAUCCAUGAUGCUAAUGAUAUGCAAAGCCACAAGCUUGGGGAAGCUAUGUUUGAUGGAGAUGAUAUUUUUUGUCCCCCAAGCUUUGAUGAGCAAAUUUACUAUGAUGAAGGCAUGCCUCCUAACUAUGAUGAUUAUUGUGAUGACACGUAUGCUUUAAAGAAUAAUGAUAAUCAUGAAACGUGUCAUCUUGAUCUUAAUUUUCAAUCACAUGAUAGUUAUUUUGUUGAGUUUGCUCCCACUACUAUUCAUGAGAAGAAAUUUGCUUAUAUUGAGAAUAGUAAAUUUUCUAUGCUAGUAGAUCAUGAAAAGAAUGCUUUAGGUGCUGGUUAUAUUUUUGAAUUCAUUCAUGAUGUUACUGAAAAUUAUUAUGAGGGAGGAAUAUAUGCUUGUAGGAAUUGCAAUAAUAUCAAGUUUCCUCUCUAUGUGCUUAAAUUCUUGAAGCUAUGCUUGUGCUACCUUCCUAUGCUAGGUGAUUAUUGUUCCCAUAAGUUGUUUGCUCACAAAAUCCCUAUGCAUAGGAAGUGGUUUAGGCUUAAAUGUGCUAGUCAUAUGCUUCAUGAUGCUCCCGUUAUGUUUCAAUUCUUAUCUUUUAUGUGAGCAUCAUUGCCAUCAUCAUGCCUAGCUAGAAAGGCAUUAAAGAAAAGCGCUUGUUGGGAGACAACCCAAUAUUUAUCCUUACUGUUUUUGUGUGUACACAUGAUUAUUCUACUGUAUUAAUCAUGUUUUAUAGCUUAUGUUUCAAUAAAUUGCCAAGUAGAACCUUUGGGAAGACUUUGGUGAAGUUUAUAUGAUCUUGCUGUAGAAAACAGAAACUUUUGCGCUCACGAGAAUGGCUGCCAUGUUUUACUGAAGAGUGAUUUUAGAUUGAUUCUUUUUUCAGAUGAUUAAUAGACAAAUUUCGCAAGUCCAGCAAUUUAUUUCAUAAUUUUUGGGGUUCAGAAGUAUACGUUUGAUACAGAUUACUACAGACUGUUCUGUUUUUGACAGAUUCUGUUUUCUAUGUGUUGUUUGCUUAUUUUGAUGCAUCUAUGGCUAGUAUUAAGUGGUAUGAACCAUAUAUAAGUUAGAAUACAGUACAUAUUACACCAAUAUGAAUUUAUAAUGAGUUCAUUACAGUAUCUAAGUGGUGGUUUUAUUUUCUUAUACUAACGGAGCUUACGAGUUUUGUUUUGAGUUUUGUGUGGUUGAAGUUUUCAAGUUUUGGGUAAAGAUUCGAUGGACUAUGGAAUAAGGAGUGGAAAGAGCCUAAUCUUGGGGAUGCCCAAGGCACCGCAAGGUAAUAUUCAAGGACAACCAAGAGCCUAAGCUUGGGGAUGCCCCGGAAGGCAUCCCCUCUUUCGUCUUCGUUCAUCGGUAACUUUACUUGGAGCUAUAUUUUUAUUCGCCACAUGAUAUGUGUUUUGUUUGGAGCGUCAUUUUAAUUUGUUAGUUUUUUCUUACUGUUAGUUAGAAUAAUGUUUUGCAUCUUUAGUUUCAAUAAAAAAGGUCAAGGAUAGACUUUGCCAUGCUUAUUUUGCUAGUUUGCAUGUUGCUGUUUGAAAACAGAAAGUUUACCGCUGUUGCAAAAAUUCCCUAGAAAAGUCAGAGAAUGGUAUAAUGUUGAAUCUUUUUGCAUAUUGAGCUCUGAUAAAUUUAUUACAGUGGGAAUUUUAGUUCAUAAUUUUUGGAGUCAGGGAAGUAUUGUUUCUCUUGAAUUCUUUACAGACUGUACUGUUUUGGCAGAUUACUGUUAUGGUUGCAUUGUUUGCAUAUGUUUGCUUGUUUAAUGAUUCUAUUUGAGGAUAGAAGUAUUAAUUAUGCAGAGACAUUUAGUAUUAAAUGUUGAAUAAUAAUGUUAGUGAUUUGUUACAGUAGAAGAUGAUAAGGUUUUUGCAUUGGCUUAUACUAACCUAUCUCGGGAGUUCUUGUUGAGUUUGUUGUGAAUGAAGCUUUUGAUAAAAAAAGAAACCAUGAUAUGAGAGGAAUUAAGGAGACACAAAAGCUCAAGCUUGGGGAUGCCCAAGGCACCCCAAGAUAAUAUUUCAAGAAGUCUCAAGAAUCUAAGCUUGGGGAUGCCCCGGUAGGCAUCCCACCUUUCUUCUUCAACAACUAUCGGUUAGUAUCAGUUGAGCCUAAGUUUUUGCUUCUUCACAUGAGUUGUGCUAUCCUUGCAUUAUAGUUUUCUUUAGCUUUGCUUGCUGUUUGAAUACAAUACCAAGAUCUGAAAUUCUUUUAUGAGAGAGAGCCUUACACCAAUUGGAAUUUGCUAGAAUACUCUAUGUGCUUCACUUAUAUCUUUUGAGCUUGAUAAUUUUUGCUCUAGUGCUUCACUUAUAUCUUUUAGAGCACGGUGGUGGAUUUGUUUUAAAGAAACUAUUGAUCUCUCAUGCUUCACUUAGAUUAUUUUGAGAGUCGUUAAUAGCAUGGUAAUUUGCUUAAAGAUAAUAUACUUGGUAUUCAAGAUAUGUGAAACUUUCUUUUGAGUGCGUUGAAUACUAAGAUAAGUUUGAUGCUUGAUAAUUGUUUUGAGAUAUGGAGGUGAUAAUAUCAAAGCAAUGCUAGUUGGGGUGAUCAUGAAUUUAAAGAGUGCUUGUGUUGAAGUUUGUGAUUCCCAUAGCAUGCACGUAUGGUGAAUUGCUUGUGAUGAAGUCAGAGCACAAUUUUAUUUAUUGAUUGUCUUCCUUAUGAGUGGCAGUCGGGGGCGAGCGAUGGUCUUUUCCUACCAAUCUAUCCCCCUAGGAGUAUGUGUUUAAUGCUUUGGUUUUUAACGACUUCUAAAUUUUUGCAAUAAGUGCAUGAGUUCUUUUGAUUAAUGUUGAGUCCAUGGAUUAUACGCACUCUCUCACCCUUCCACCAUUGCUAGCCCCUCUAAUACAGCGCACUUUUUGCCGGUAUCAUACACCCACCAUAUACCUUCCUCAAAACAGCCACCACACCUACCUAUCAUGGCAUUUUCAUAGCCAUUCCGAGAUAUAUUGCCAUGCAACUCUCCACCGUUCCGCUCAUAUGACACACAUUACUUUUGUCAUACUGCUUUUUGCAUGAACAUGUAGUUGACAUUGUAUUUGUGGCAAAUCCACCGUUCAUAAUUCUUUCAUACAUGUCACUCUUGAUUCAUUGCAUAUCCUGGUACACCGCCGGAGGCUUUCAUAUAGAGUCAUAUUUUGUUCUAAGUAUCGAGUUGUAAUUUUUGAGUUGUAAGAAAAAUAAAAGUGUGAUGAUCAUCAUUAUUAGAGCAUUGUCCCAGUGAGGAAAAGAAUGAUGGAGACUAUGAUUCCCUCAUAAGUCGGGAUGAGACUCCGGACUUUAUGAAAAAUAAAAGAGGCCAAAGAAGCCCAAAUACAAAAAAAAGGAGUGGCCAUAACAAAAAGAAAAAAAGAGAGGAGAAAGGCCAAAUAAAAAAAUGAGAGAAAAAGAGAGAAGGGACAAUGCUACUAUCCUUUUUCCACACUUGUGCUUCAAAGUAGCACCAUGAUCUUCAUGAUAGAGAGUCUCAUAUGUUGUCACUUUCAUAUACUAGUGGGAAUUUUUCAUUAUAGAACUUGGCUUGUAUAUUCCAAUGAUGGGCUUCCUCAAAAGUGCCCUAGGUCUUCGUGAGCAAGCAAGUUGGAUGCACACCCACUUAGUUUCUUUUGUUGAGAUUUCAUAUACUUAUAGCUCUAGUGCAUCCGUUGCAUGGCAAUCCCUACUCACUCACAUUGAUAUCUAUUGAUGGGCAUCUCCAUAGCCCGUUGAUACGCCUAGUUGAUGUGAGACUAUAUUCUCCUUUUUGUCUUCUCCACAACCACCAUUCUAUUCCACCUAUAGUGCUAUGUCCAUGGCUCACGCUCAUGUAUUGCAUGAAAGUUGAAAAAGUUUGAGAUUUCUAAAGUAUGAAACAAUUGCUUGGCUCGUCAUCGGGGUUGUGCAUGAUUAAAUACUUUGUGUGAUGAAGAUAGAGCAUAGCCAGACUAUAUGAUUUUGUAGGGAUAACUUUCUUUAACCAUGCUAUUUUGAGAAGACAGGAUUGCUUUGAUUAGUAUACUUGAAGUAUUAUUACUUUUAUGUCAAUAUGAACUUUUGUCUUGAAUCUUUUGGAUCUGAAUAUUCAUGCCACAAUUAAGAAGAUAUACAUUGAAAUUAUGCCAAAGUAUCACUCCGCAUCAAAAAUUCUUUUUUAUCAUUUACCUACUCGAGGACGAGAAGGAAUUAAGCUUGGGGAUGCUUGAUACGUCUCCAACGUAUCUAUAAUUUUUGAUUGCUCCAUGCUACUUUAUCUACUGUUUUAGGCCAUAUUGGGCUUUAUUAUCCACUUUUAUAUUAUUUUUGGGACUAACCUAUUAACCGGAGGCCCAGCCCAGAUUUGCUGUUUUAUGCCUAUUUCAGUGUUUCGAGGAAAAGGAAUAUCAGACGGAGUCAAAACGGAACGAAAUCAACUGGAGAAGUUAAUUUUGGAAGGAAACCUACCAGAUGGACUUGGACCCCAUGUCAGGAGCCAAGGGAGGUGCUCACGAGGGUGGGGGGUGCGCCCCCUGGGCGCGCCCCCCUAGGCGCGCCCCCUGCCUCGUGGGACCCCCGUAGCUCCACUGACGUACUUCCUGCACCCAUAUAUACCUACAUACCCAAAAACUUCCAGAACAGAACCUAGAUCGGGAGUUCCGCUGCCGCAAGCCUCUGUAGCCACCAAAAACUAAUCGGGACCCUGUUCCGGCACCCUGCCGGAGGGGGAUCCCAUCACCGGAGGCCAUCUUCAUCAUCCCGGCGCUAUCCAUGACGAGGAGGGAGUAGUUCACCCUCGGGGCUGAGGGUAUGUACCAGUAGCUAUGUGUUUGAUCUCUCUCUCUCUCUCUCUCUCUCUCUCUCUCUCGUGUUCUCUCUCGUGUUCCUCUAUGGCACAAUCUUGAUGUAUCCCGAGCUUUGCUAUUGUAGUUGGAUCUUACGAUGUUUCUCCCCCUCUACACUCUUUUGAUGAAUUGAGUUUCCCCUUUUGAAGUUAUCCUAUUGGAUUGAGUCUUUUAUGAGAACACUUUAUGUAUGUCUUGCUGUGAUUAUCUGUGGUGACAAUGGGAUAUCAUGUGCCACUUGAUGUAUGUUUUGGUGAUCAACUUGCGGGUUCCGCCCAUGAACCUAUGCAUAGGGGUUGGCACACGUUCUUGACUCUCCGGUAGUAGCUUUGGGGCACUCUUUGAAGUACUUUUAUGUUGGUUGGAUGAAUCUGAGAUUAUGUGACGCAUAUCGUAUAAUCAUGCCCAAGGAUACUUGAGGUGACAAUGGAGUAUCUAGGUGACAUUAGGGUUUUGGUUGAUUUGUGUCUUAAGGUGUUAUUCUAGUAUGAACUCUAUGAUGGAUUGAGCGGAAAGAAUAGCUUUAUGUUAUUGUACUACGAACUCUUGAAUAGAUAGAACAGAAAGGAUAACUUUGAGGUGGUUUCGUACCCUACCAUAAUCUCUAAGUUUUUUCUCCACUAUUAGUGUCUUUGGAGUGACUCUUUGUUGCAUGUUGAGGGCUUGUUAUUUGAUCUAUCUAUGUUAUUAUUGUUGAGAGAACUUGCACUAGUGAAAGUAUGAACCCUAAGCCUUGUUUCCUAUCAUUGCAAUACCGUUUACGCUCACUUUUAUCGCUCGCUACCUUGCUGUUUUUAUAAUUUCAGAUUACAAUUACCUUUAUCUACUAUCUAUUUUGCACUUGUAUCUUCAUCUCUUCGCCGAACUAGUGCACCUAUACAAUUUACCAUUGUAUUGGGUGUGUUGGGGACACAAGAGACUCUUUGUUAUUUGGUUGCAGGGUUGUUUGAGAGAGACCAUCUUCAUCCUACGCCUCCUACGGAUUGAUAAACCUUAGGUCAUCCACUUGAGGGAAAUUUGCUACUGUCCUACAAACCUGUGCACUUGCAGGCCCAACAACGUCUACAAGAAGAAAGUUGUGUAGUAGACAUCAGUGGUCCAUGCAACUGAAGUAAAAAACCAAUCGAUCUGUUCAAGUAAAGGAUUAGUUUGCAUAUUCGACCAGGUAAAUUGCGGUCCUUUAAUUGGUAGCUCAACGAGACCCAGGUGUCCAAUCACUUCAUUAAACAGAAAGAUAUCGCUGACAUUACCCCCAGGUAGGUUUCGGUUUUCCAACGACCGCAUGAAAUUGAAAUCACCCAACAACAGCCAAUUAUCAUCACAGUUAAUAUCAAGAUUAUAUAACCAUUGCACGAAAUCAUCCCGAGCCGGGCCCUGGCACGGACCAUAAACUGACACGAGAGUCCAAACUUCAGAGGUAUGUUUACAUUGGAAUUCCAUAAUGAUACCAAAAUGCCUUGCCUCAAUUAAUUUCCCUUCAAAGAAGGAAGAACUCCAAAUGAUGAUCAUACCGGCCGAGGCACCCAUAGAAGGCACAUAGGAAAAAUUAUCAAAACGCCAUGGGCAGAAUUUCCUAAUGAACUAUGAUCAAUAUGCAUGCACUUCGUUUCUUGCAGACAGACAACCGAACAACCACUUUCAUCAAUUUUUGCUUAACCGCUAAUUGCCGUGCUUCAGAAUUAAGACCACGCACGUUCCAACACAACACCUUCCAAUCUCUAAAUCAUGUUUGAUUCAUUACAAACCAAAAUAAAAAGCAGCAGCAAAAGUAGAUCAUGUAAUGUCCUACACUGACCCACUAAACAUGAGGGAUAUAGUCCAAAC
rnacentral:lncRNA from 1 species